rnacentral:lncRNA from 1 species
UGCUGGCUCUAGUCUUUCCCUGCUGUAGGAAACUCUGCUUUGUGUCGGUGUUACUACCGAGGUUACCUGUUAUGCCAACCUUUUUGCUAUCAAGUAGCGGCUCUAAUGUGGCAAAUUCUACCGUUACCUUCCUAUCUGAAUUAUCUGCAUGUUUUUUGGACCUGUCUUUUGCAUGCAGUUGCUGAUAUACCUGUCAUCUAGAUUGUAGAAUCUAGUUAUGGCAGUUUACAUGUGGAAUAUGUGUUCUCAGAGCAUCUCCAAGAGUGACCAACCACUUUUGGGAUCAAAAGUGAAAAAUAGUGCUCCAACAGUUGUCCAACCUCAUACCCAAAAUUUCCGCGUGCCCAAAACCAGAUCUAUCCUGAGCACCAAGGCACCAAUCGCCACCGUUUCUUCCGGUCUCUCUCAACUUCUCUCCCGCCGGCAUCCCCCUCGUGCCAAUUUCCCUUUGCAAGGGCCGCGCGUGCCUCACUGCUCCACGAGUGAAUCUCGUCAAACAAUGUGCCACUUUUGGUUGUUCUUCAACGUGAGGUCAUCCAAGUAGAUAGCUGGAAAUAAUUUUAGCAAAUAAGCAAUGGCUAGCUUCUUUUUUCUGGAUUGGAUCAUAUCGAUCCAACUGGUACUUGAAUUUCGCUUUGAUCUCGCGUGCCUGUUCCACUGCUGCCACGGUGCCACCUGCCCGUGCACUCGUGUCUGCCACGCCUAGUUGCGCCGCCCACACAGCAUCACUACCCUGAACUAUGAGUAACCCUUUGAUUCUUAAACCAGCUUACUAUUCACCAUAUUGUAUCCCGGUUUUGCUGACUAGGAUGCCGGUUUGCUGUUUAAUGGCGACACGUGGACCAUCCAACGUGGCAAUAAAAAAAUGAAGUGCACAUAACCCCCUCCGAUUCAGCCCGACUCAGGUGUGCUUGGUCUUCUAUCCUCGAGAUAUUGGCCACCUCCGACCCUCCGUCAUCGCCGAGCACCUCGCCGCCGCCCACUGCGCCGCCAUGGCGGCUCGGAUGUCAUCGUCCAACACUACCAAGUGCAGCGCGUCGUCUCCGCUCAUACGUUGGAGCCAUGCACCACGCCUGGAUGUUGUGCCGUGCUCGCCUGCCUGGGCCUUCGCUUCCGCUAUCGUGGUGUGGUGCCGACGGGUAGCCGCCGGCGAGAGGCCCGGCCGUGGCUGCAGCUCAACCAGGGGCCACAACAUCAUGGGGACAAGCAGGAGGGACCAGCUGAUCCAGGAGGAAGAGCAGCCGCAUCUCGCACCAUCCAGGAGGAAGAGCAGCCACAUCGCUGAAUCUUUUGGAUGGAGAACGGCAGCGGCAGCAAGUUCAGAAGCAAAUUGACAGAACCCAAUGCAUAUCACUUGAGAACUCGCUACAUAAAAAAAAACAAUUAAGUUCACCACAUGCCAUUGGUAAAGCUUGCAUCCUCCAUCCUAACCAAAAUCCAUAGAGCGCACAACAACAGAUCAAAAUCGAACCACAAAUAGAGCCAAAUAAUAGCCGAAUUGACCAAAUUCAGUGCUUACCAAGGCCCUUGGGCAUGUGUAGUACCUCGACCACGCCGCACGGCCAUGGGAUCCCGCGCGAUGAGCAGGGCCGGCGGACGGGACGGAGCAGGGGCGCCAGCGGACUGGAUCGAAUAGGGGAGCGCUGGCAGGCGGGGCCGAGCAGGGCGGGCGCCAUCAGACAUGAACCAGCAGGGGAGCGCCGGCGGACUGGAUCGAGCAGGGUGAGCGCCGGUGGCCGGGGCCUAGCAACGGGCGCCAUGGAACAGGAACGAGCAGGGGAGCGCCGGCGGGGCCGAGCAGGGGCGAUGCGUUGGUUCGAGCCCUUGCCUGAUGGCGGCAGGAGCUCAAGUGGGCUCGAUUCGUUUUGCCACGUUGGACUGCCCAUGUGGAGUCAUUAGUCAGCAAAACAGCCAUCCAGUCAGCGAAACCGGUUUUGAUUACUGACUAAAGGUGAAUAGUGAUCUGGUUUAGCACCCCGACCUUCCUGCAGUUGCAAUCAAUGCAUAUAAAUGAGAGGAAGGUUACCCCUUCCCUUCUGCCCGGUCAGGACUGAACUGGAGCUCCCAUCCAUGAUGGUGCCUGAGCUCAAAGUAGAAAUGGAAAAUUGAAAGCUCAUUGCACAAGACCGGCGAUUAAUCGGGCUGCGAUGGCGCCAUCGGGAUCUGGUGCGUGGGGGCUACGGUUCCAACUAUGAUGUUGGCAAUCGCAAAAAAGGGAUUUGGGAUAUAAUAAUUUUAGUGUUAGGAUCUUAUCUAUAGCAAUAUAGCAUUAUAUACUCAAAGGGGUAUUUGCAAGAAGUCAAAUGAAGAAUGGUGGCAAAACUCCUACCUUCGGGCAUGUGGGGCCCAUUGUGCCACGCCACGUCCGUAGUCGUAUAUGGUCCAAACUUGUUUGGAUGUGUUUUGACAUAUAGGCCUAGUUGCUGUAGCUAUGUGUGCAUUUUGAGAGUUGAGAGAUCUGAAUGACACUCGUUGCCAUGUUAGCAGAGUGACAGUGCACUUUACUCGUAAGAGACUAAUACAAGGGCUUCCUGAUUUCCACUCUCGAUCCUAGACAACCAAGUGCUCACCCACAAAUCUUAAAUUUUGCUGAGUACAACAUGAGAAACUCAAUUGAUAAUAGUGUAGUUUAGUAAAUAGGUAUUGCAAUUCUACAAUUGUCAACAUCCAUAUUGAGACCUUUAGGCUGUUAAAAAAACAUUCUUAUCUGUAACCAAACAUCAGGAAUUUCAAAUUUUAGACCUGAUGAUACUGGCUGUACAAAAUGUAGCAAUUGGAAUCUCACAUGUGAAAUGUAAUCUAAACUACCACACAGAAAUGGACUAAAUCAAGGUCUAGCAAGCUCCUGAAACAAAAUUCAACAAUUUAUAUGUUUGAGAAAUCAAAGAUGGUUUUGAGAAUACUUGAAUGCUGAAAUGCAUCCCGCAUGAUAUCCUCAUGCUAUUAGAUACCAAAGAGGCAUAAGCUUGGAUGGCAAAUACCAGGCAGAGUAACUGUCAUGCGUUAAUUUUGCGAAAAACCCCCCUGCAAAAAUAGAUAUAACAAGUGAGUUUCGUGUGUCAGUUUUACUGUCCAUGUGUAGUUUUACGUCUCUGUGCACAGGACGCGUCAUGACAAUGCAAGAUUACCCAGGACUACGAGAGAUUCAGCCGGCCGGUACCACCAUCUCAUAUAUGUGCUGGAUCUCCAGGUGAUAAUCUAUAUUAUCUUAGCUUAUAUUAUGCUUUACCAGGUAUUAGUUUCACAGAGCUAAUUGUGCUACUCUGAGUUGCAGGGAAAAAGAGAGAUGCCAAAUGCAAUGGCAUGGACCUUGCCCUUAUGCCCUCCCUCCCGGGUACCGGCUGCCGGUGCUUUAAAGAAGCCCAUGAACUUGAGUAGUAAGUUAAAAAUGACAGGAAGGCGGUCCUCCUGGGGCAGAUCGACCUGCCCGUCAUUGAUCAAUCAUGGCGGGUUUUCUUAUAUGGGCACGUUGAGCUCGACAACGUGAUACCCGCAGCGGACGAACUCCCUAGAUAGGAACAUUGUGCUACUUUGGAUGUAGCGUAAUAAUGUUACACGUGGCCGGCAUGGACGCAUCAAAGUCUAGCUACAUGCCGGUCAGGUGUCGACGCCGUCGCAUUUGUUGCGCGGUUAGUUUAGUUUCCGCAUACGUGCAUGUGAAGAGUGGGGGACACGAGACGAUGCGUGGGUUCGCGCGAUCACCAUCCACCGCGCGGCACGUUGGCUCCGGCCUCCUGUCGCUGAGAUCACCGUCCAGUCACGUCCCUCCGAUCCGGUGCCUCCCACCGCGCUGGUGCAAGCAUACCUGCUACCAAAUGCACACGACGUCACGACGGCAGCGUCUGUUAUCGAUCCCAGGCGAUGCAUGGCUCCAAACUUCCCAACUCCCACCACCUCCCAGGCCAAGCAGAGGCGCCGGACACGGUACACAGGCACACAGCGCUAGCUGCAAACGGAAGAAAAUUAGACGCAGGACUCCUGCAACCGAGUCCUGGUGCAGGACGGCCUCAGAUCACGACGCGUGGGCAGCCUUCCCGAUCGAACGCCCGCGCGAGGAGACGAGCCAGCGCUGAAGAAGAAAAAAAUAGAUGAGCCAGGAACGAGCCAGCAAGACGAGCCACCACGCUGAAGGAAAGCCACGAAGACGAGCUAGGAACGAGCGAGCCCCUCGCGCGCGUGCGGAAGACGAGCCGGUGGAAGACGAGAUGGCGCUGACGAGCCCUUCUCUGAUUCGUUUCACGAACAACAUCCGGGGCCUUCCAUAAUCUCAGGACGAAGACGACGACCCGGCCGUGGUGCUCGACACCUCCGGGACGGCGGGGUUGUUCAGCAGCUGGUGAUCGCAGGAUCGCGGGCCCGCAGGCGUCGUCGGGCGACGCGUAGAGGCCGUCGUCGGUGCCGUGCUGCCGGGCGACGCGUAGAGGCGUGUCCGCGGUGCCGGUCUGCGGCUCCCCAGCGACGGCGGCGGCCUAGAUGCGCUCGACGAGGCAGGACUUCCAUCCAGAGGUAGCGCAUGAGGUCCUUGAACUGCGCCUCGAUUUUCUACUCACGGAAUCACCGCAUGCAGGAGCUAUCGUCUUCCGUAUUAUCGCUGCCUAGGGUUUGAGCUGUCGCGCGUGCAGAAUCAAGUGGCGGCGACCUUGCGAUCCAUAUGGCGCCAUCGGGUCUGGAGGUGGAGUCGUUGGAGCAUGACCUCCUGGGCAGCGGUGACGGAGCGAGCGACAGUAACGGUGAUUAGGGGCGGAUGAGGUAAUCGUAAGGAACGUGAAUAAUAAAUUGAAGUGAUAGUAUAAUAAUAUGUAUUGUUGUAAGGCACCUUUAAUUCUCGACUCAUUGUACAACAGGUGGUUGAUGAAGUUGCGAAAAAUUAUUUCAUCGUUCCUGAAGUUGGAAUGUCUUUUCAAUCUGAGGAGGAAGCUUAUGAUAUGUACAACACCUAUGCAGGCAAGGUUGGGUUCAGUAUUAGAAAGAGCGACACAAAGCGUCGAAGAGAUGGCAGUAUCUAUCUCAAAUAUAUAGUUUGCAGUAGUCAAGGUCAUCGACAAAUUGAGUCAUCAAAGGACACUACAAGGACAGGUUGUGAUUCUCGUAUUCAGUUUAGUGUUAGCAAGGAGGGGGUUUGGUCAGUGCAGAAGGUUGUGUUUGAUCAGAACUAUUACCUUGCAAGUCCAAAUAAAAGACAGAAGCUUAGGUCCCAACGACGUGUUCAAGAAGCGGACAAGAAGCUAAUUGGCCAGAUGAAGGAGGGCGGGAUGAAACCAGCCCAAGUGUUUGAGUUUAUGGUCAAUUUUAUGGAGGAGCCGACAAAGUGCCAUUCUCACGGAUUGAUUGUAACAAUGAGAUUGGUCGGCAGCGCAGAAAAUACUUAGAAUCCAAUGACGCACAAACAUUGUUGGAAUACUUAAAAAAUAAGCAGAUAGAGGAUCCAACAUUUUUUUAUGCCAUUCAAAUAGAUGAAGAAGAUGGCAGGAUGGCUAACUUCUUUUGGGCGGACGGUCAAUCUAUCAUGAAUUACACAUGUUUUGGUGAUGCCGUGUCUUUUGACACCACGUUUCAGACUAAUAAGUUUGAAAUGCCUUUUGCUCCGCUCCUGGGAACCAACCAUUACAAGCAGACUAUAAUUUUUGGGUUUGCAUUAUUGUUUAAUGAGACUAUUGAAUCAUUUGUUUGUCUAUUUGAAACCUUUUUAACAGCUGUCAGGUAAGCAUCCCAACACAAUUUUCACUGAUCAAGAUGCGGCCAUAGCAGGUGCAAUUGCUUAUGUAUUCCUAAACACAAGUCAUCAUCUUUGUUUGUGGCAUAUUUAUCUAAAUGCUGCUAAACAUCUUGGUCAUGUAAUCCAGCAGCAUCCAGAGAAUUUUCUUCCUGAUUUUAAGGGAUGUGUCUAUGAAGAUAGAUCUGAGUUUUACUUUAACAAGAAGUGGGAUGAAUUGUUGUGUGAGUACAACCUUAAGGACAAUGAAUGGAUGUUAAACCUAUAUGAUUUGAGGACAAAGUGGGCUGCUGUGUAUACCGUGACUCAUUUACAGCUGAUAUGAACUCCACUCAAAGAAGCGAAGGUAUGAAUAACGUAUUCAAGAAAAUGUUUCUUAGGAAAUUGUGUAUUUCGGAACUACUUGAAGAAUGUGACAAGGUUUUUGUUAGUCUUCGUAAUAACGAGUUGGAUGAAGAUUUUCAAUCACGUCGAAAGAGUCUAGUUGCACACAUACCUCUUUUGAAGACUGCGGUCGAGUCAUAUACAAGCCGAAUGUAAAAGAGUUUCAGGAAGAAUUUAAUGAACAAUUUUCAUUCUCUUGUAAGUUGUUACACACUGAGGGGUCGAUUUUGACAUAUACGGUUACACAUAUGUACUAUGAUUAUGGAGCAACGGUUGUGUUCAACAAAGUAGAUAUUACCAUUACAUGUGCUUGCAGAAAAUACGAAUCCAUAGGUACAUACAAAAAUCUUUAUUGCAAUAGUAUAGUUUAUAAUACAAAGUAAUGAAAUAUGAUAUCCACAUAUAGGUUUACUGUGCAAGCAUGCCCUCAAAGUCUUCAAUGCAAACAAUAUUUUCUUGUUGCCAUCUCAAUACAUAUUGAAUAGAUUGAAAAAAUAUGCAAAGAAAAGAUUCUAUAUUGAGAAACAAGAAUUUGAAAAGGAAAGCUUGAAAACGCAUGCUGCACGUAUUGCACGAAAGGCGACAUCCAUUGCAUUGAAGUGUUCACUAUCCAAGGAACUUCUUGUUGAUUUGGAGAAUGCCAUAGAUAAGUUGGACUUGGAAGCAGAUAAUUCUCUAAGCAGGAUGCAACAAAAAGCCAGUGAGGUCCCUCUAGUUUCAACAAACUGUGUUAUAGAUACAUUAAGAGGUAAAAUAUCAUUUAGAAUUCCUCGGGUGAUAAAAGGCCCAAAGAGUAAGCGAGGGACCAUCUCCCUUGAAAAGAAUAAAGGGAAGAAAAAGAAAAGUGGUAAAAAGCAAGGUACUACUCAUAUCAAUUCUACAUGUUUUUAUCUAUUAUAUGCCAAUAUAGUUAAAUUGAUAUGUUUGAAUAUAGGACAAGAUUCAACAACUGCAGUAGAAAAUAGAUCCGAAGUAUACGAAGGUGCUAAUCUAAAUCAAUUUAUCGUAAGUCAUAUGUGUUGGACUAAGUCCACUUUUCAUAUUUGAAUUCCUUAUAUGCAACUAUUUAUCGUAAGUCAUAUGUGUUGGACUAUAUCCACUUUUCAUAUUUGAUUUGGUACAGGAUUUUAAUGAUGGUGAAAAGGAUGUUAACAGUAUGGUGCCAAACUCUGCAAAUGAUGUGCAUGGACAAUCUUCGUCCAUGGUUGCUCCAUUGAUCCAAGGUAGCUAUGCUAAUGCCAUAAUACCACAAUUUAAUAUGUACAGAGAUUCUUCAACCGUGGGUGCUCCUUAUAUGCAAGGAGGAUAUACAAAUCUCUUACUUGGAGUUGAUCGAGCUGCCACAUUACAGCCGGCUGUUAAAAAGUUAAUUUUUGGUGGAAUGCCAAAUCAAGAAAGUAUGUAACCUUUGUUGUGUUACCCAUAAUUUUAUUUGGAUCUGUAUUAUAUCAGUUGGUACCAUGUAACUCAUUUAUAUUGUUCGAUAAGGAUCACAUCACCCUUUAUGGACCUGUCAUUUUUUUUUACAUAUCACUUCCACGUACCACUCUUUAGAUUUAAACUUUUUCAGAUUAUGAAAUAUCCCAAAUUUUGUUUGUGAAACGAAUCAGAGAAGCUGUGGCAACAGAUUCUGUAACCCUUCGUUCUGGAGCCAUGAGGCGAGAGGAGCUCCUGCAGGCGCAGAGAAGCCCUGCUAAGCGUCGGCUCGUCUUCCGCCGGCUCGAGAGGCACGCACGCGAGGGGCUCGUCUUCCUAGCUCGUUUAUUUUUUCUUCUUCAGCGCUGGCUCAUCUUCCGCGCGAGGGGCGCGGGCGUUCAAUCGGGAAGGCCGCCCACGCAUCAUGAUCUGGGGCCGUCCUGCACCAGGACUCGGUUGUAGGAGUCCUGCGUCUAAUUUUUUUCCGCUGCAAACGACUCUUCCGCGAGGACUAGUGCGUCGCUCAGCUCCAUCCCUUGACGCGGUACUCGAUCGGUGAGCCGGUUCGUGAGAUCAACUUCGCCGACCUACCCAACAAGCGAGGACUUAGAACUCGCCUAGCGACGUGAUAUCGGAUUUUGUUGCACCUAGUUGUCUUUUUGGUCAAUGGUCAAUUGCUUGCGUGACCCUGCGCGUCUCUCUUCUUACUUUCUUGACUACUUUCUAUCUUAUGAGCCAUUGAAUGAGGUCAGUUCGUUGAACGUCGCAGCGACCUGCUGGCUGGAGUGGGAUCAUCAUUUGAUGGAUUCAUAGAUGGCCACGGAUUGAAGCAGGGAGUACGUUACACGAAGUCUACACGAACCUCGGUCGUCUUCCCGUGUGACGCAUCUACGACAAUGACAUCAGAGAGAAAGUUUGGUUCGCGUGUCUACUCACUUGUGAAAAGGAUGCGAGGCGACGAUCACUUCGAUCCCCUCGAUCUCUUUAUCGCACAUUGAACGUACCGUUAAAUUUGAAGUGCUAGUACCUAUCCCAACAACUUCGUUUCUUGUUCCUGCGACGAUCGAUCUCCUCCGCGACUCGGAACUCCAAGCGUUGGUCAGGCUCAUCUUUCUGUAGUCUGUACAGAUGUAGUACACGGUACUACACCACCCAUCUUUUCACAUCCUACUAGUAGGCAGUAGCACUAUAUAUACACUGAGAUGCACAUACACUACUGCUCCCAGUCCUAGGCAACCCCGUUCGUCCAGCUACUGCAAACAUGAGUGCAAUCAUGUUCGACUCCCGUAGUUUCACGCAUCAGUUCAAGCUCAACUACGAGAAGACGAAGAACGUCGCCAUCGGGCAAGCCGUCAGCUCCGAGGAGAUCUCCGCUGGGGGGAAUCGGCACCCUGAAGCUUGACGGCUAGCUAGCACUUCCAUUGCAUAUUUGCAUUGGUGGUUAGUAGUUAGAUAGAAGAAGCUUUGUUUAGUUGAUCGUGCAGUUGGAGACUCCAAUUGGCGUGAUUUAUUUCGUGAAGCUUCACUCGGUCACCUCGUCUCUUCAAGAUCAGAUCACUGCCCAGUUUUGCUAAAAGUUGCUAAAGAGGUCUGGAGGCCCCCAAACAAGCCGUACCAUCGAUAUGAGAUAAUGUGGGAGAGACAUCAUGCAUUGCCAGAAAUAAUUCGCGAGGCUUGGGAAAAAACAGCUCAGGGAAAUGAUCUUGGGGAUAUUGCUGAAACAUUGAGGAAUGUUAUGGGUAAAUUGAAGAGAUGGAGUUGGGAGAAUUUUGGUGCAGUCACUAGAGAAAUUACCUCUUUACGUGCUCAGAUCGAGGUACUGAAGGCAAGCAAUGGGCCAGGUGAAGAAGUGGAAUUAAGGAAAGCAAUGAUACGUAUGGAUGAACUGUUGUAUAGAGAAGAGAUGAUGUGGCUACAGAGAUCUAGAAUUUCUUGGUUGAGGGAGAGGGAGAUCGAAACACAAAAUUUUUUCAUAGUAAAGCUGUCUGGCGUAGUAGGAAAAACAAAAUUAAAAAACUUAGAAGAGUGGAUGGAUCCUGGUGUAACCAUCAGAAUGAGAUGGAGGAGAUGGCGUCCAAGUAUUUUGAAAAUUUAUUCACAAAGGAUGGCCACAUCCAACCAAGCAUGCUGUUGGACCAAGUGGAAUCUAAGGUAACACAAGAAAUGAAUACAGCUCUAUGCAGGAACUUCACUGAUGAGGAGAUAGAGAAGGCUAUUUUCCAAAUUGGUCCACUAAAGGCACCCGGGCCAAAUGGUUUUCCUGCUAUGUUCUUUCAAAAUAAUUGGGAGGUCUUAAAGAAGGAUGUGGUGGCUGCAAUAAAAGUGUUUUUGAUACCUGUAAAAUGCCUGAAGGUGUGAAUGAGGCAGCAAUAGUACUAAUUCCAAAGGUGGAUAAUCCAACAGAAUUGAAAGAUUUUCGUCCAAUUAGCCUAUGUAAUGUCAUAUACAAAGUUGUCUCUAAAUGCCUAGUAAACAGAUUGCGGCCUUUCUUGAAUGUCCUGAUUGAACAAGAGCAGAGUGCCUUUGUGCCAGGAAGAAUGAUUACUGAUAAUGCGCUGAUCGCCUUUGAGUGCAUUCAUGCAAUGCAAACAGGUAACAGGUAUGCUCAAUCUUUCUGUGCUUACAAGCUGGAUCUUUCUAAAGCCUAUGAUAGAGUGGACUGGGUGUUCUUGGAAGGUAUGUUAAGACAGCUGGGUUUCUCAAAACAAUGGAUUUCUUGGAUAAUGGAGUGUGUUACCUCAGUGAAAUAUUCUGUUAAAUUCAAGGGAUCUUACAGAGAUCAUUUAAACCAUCACGUGGCCUUCGGCAAGGGGAUCCUCUCUCUCCCUUCUUAUUUCUGUUUGUGGCAGAUGGCCUGUCCUUGUUAAUGAAAAGAGCUGUUGAAGCCCGCCAAUUACAAGCUAUUUCCAUUUGUCGUCAGGCUCCUCGUAUCUCUCAUUUGCUUUUUGCUGAUGAUACUUUGUUACUGUUCAGAGCAACUGGUGAACAGGCCAGAAAAAUCAAGGAGGUGUUAUGAAUCAAGUACCGGUCAACUAAUCAAUCCUGAAAAGUGCUCGAUAAUGUUUGGAGUGGCAUGGCCUCAGGAUGCCAUGGGCAGUGUCUGUGGCGAGCUGCAAGUUCAUAAUGUAGCAGGUGAGGCUAAAUACCUGGGCCUGCCUACACCUGAGGGGCGUAUGAAGAAAGGUCGUUUCCAACCACUUCAAAAUCGGUUUGGAAAAGCAUGAAUGACUGGAGCGAACGUAACAUGUCUCAAGCUGGAAAGGAGAUCCUAAUUAAGUCUGUAGCUCAAACCUUGCCAACAUAUAUUAUGGGAGUUUAAAAUGCCCCUUGUUGACGCCCAAAAGUGGCACGGCCCGAGAUACAUGAGGCUAAGAUCAAAAUUGAUUGGCACUAACUCUUGAUAUUUUGCAAGUUUGACUUGAAUAUGAAUUGUGCAGGACAAAAGGGUCGUUUUGGAUGCUCUGGACGUAAUUGUGCUAAAAAGGACGAAUCAACACUUGGAAUGACACCAAAAAUAGCAGAUAUGGCUGAUAUGACAGAGCCAUCCUGACCGACCUACUGAAGCGGUCUGACCAGUUAUUGGUCUUGUGGCUGAUCCGACAAUCCAGACCGGUCACCCAACAGGUCAGACCGGUCAGAUUAAAGUGCUCAAAAUAUAGAUUGGAUAUCACCAUUGCGUAGAUCUCGUCGAGAUGAUCGAAAUGCAUAUGUGGAACGCCUAAUUUGGAGUCCGGAUGAGAGAUUUAUAGCUUCGACAAGAUUCAGCCCUGGGCUGACUGGUUAGACUGGUUUGGAUGGGCGGUCUGACCGGUCUACCCAGCCCUGGGCUGACUGGUCAGACUGGUUUGGAUGGGCGGUCUGACCGGUCUACCCAGUCUAGUCCGAGCUAGGAGUUGUAUUUUGACACGGGAUUUAUGUAAUCUUCGACUCCUACUGGGGCAAGACCUCCCCACCCUAUAAAUAUAAAGGGCAACGGCCGAUUGAGGGAUCCCAAUCGAAUCAAUCUACAAUUUACUUUUAUCUUCUCAACCCUAAUACUUUUCCAACCUCUAUGCUAUUCAUCUACUGUUCUCCACGACCAUAGAUGGCGUUCUAGGCUUGCUGGUCGACCUAGAGCACGCCUUUGCUAGUUUGCUCAUAAACUAGUCAUUCUUCGCCACAUAAGUGCGUUGGUUAUCCCUUUGCUGGUUUGCUCGUAAACCUAGCCGUCCUCCACCAUGUAAGUGUGGUCUUUACCUCCUCGAACGACUGAUCCGGGCCAAACCUCAGGAGACCGAUUUGACCAGGUUGCUGGACCGGUCUGACCGGCCUGUGCAGCAUCUCUGCCAUUCGGUCCGUUCGCGACCCGUGCGAUAUAGUGCACUCGUGUGUUAGCCGAAAAAGGCGUCAACACUCCUCACUCUUUGUGAUGACUUUAUGCAAAUUAUAAGGAAUUAUUGAUGGGGUGCAUAGAAUGGUCGAAGGAAGACACAUUGGUGUUCUUGGGAGACAAUGCUACAACCAAAGAGUAAUGGUGGAUUGGACUUUCGGGACUUGCGUCUUUUUAACCGAGCUUUGCUAGCUCAACAGGGCCUGGAUAGUUUAUGUGCAAAGGUCAAAUAUUACCCGAGGGAAAAUUUGUAUCCAGGCUAAAUAUUACCUGAGGGAAAUUUGUUGGAUACAGUAUUUGGUGGCAAUAUUUCAGCCACAAGGCGUUCCAUUAUGUAUGGACCGGAGCUGGAAAAAAAAAGAAUUCUACAAAGAAUUGGAAAUGGCAGUAGUAUUCAGAUUUGGCGAGAUAAUUGGAUUCCUAGAGAAGUUUCUUUGAAAGUGGUAACAAAAUGCAGAAGGCCAAGAAUCAGGUGGGUCUCUAACUUAUUUGAGAAUAAACAUAGAGAUCGGAACUGCGGCCUUACUAGAAGUAUUUUUCUACCAGUGGAUGCUGAUGCUAUUCUAAAGAUAAGGAUUCCCACUAAUGAAACACGAGAUCAAAUUGCUUAGCAUUUUGAGGAAUCAGGGUUAUUCUCAACAAGGUUUGCAUAUAAAUUGGCUCCGAGGAUGCAACGUCAAGACCAGAUAGCAUUGAGUACAGAACCAAAGAGGAGGGAGAAGCUAUGGAGCAAUAUCUGGAAGGAUGUGCCACCAAAAGUACAUAUGUUUGCAUGGAGACUUGCCUCAAAUGCUCUUGCAUCGAACACUAAUAAGAAGGCGAGGCAUAUUAUUGAGGAUGAUACCUGCACAAUCACUACAAGAAAUCUUCCGACUAGUAACGAACCAAAGAAUGUCAUAAACACAUUUUUUCAUCAUAAACCAUGAUUUAUGAUGCAGGAGUGACGAAAACUCUUCGUCAUUCGUUGAGCGUCAUAAACUGCGACUAGUGAUAUUCCUUAUUUUGGUGUGUCACUAAGGUUAUGACGAAUGAAAAUUCAUCCCACAAGUCAUCAUAAAACUAUUUCCGAGGUUGCGCCACGUUAGACAAGAAUCCAAUGUGGCUCCGACAUGUUAGCUGUGUUAUGACGAUUCUGGUACGUCACAAAUUGAAGCCCGGUUCAUGUAAGAGCUUUUUUAGCCCAAAUUUUAUUGGGCCAUUUGUAGCCCAAAUGAGGUUUCCAUGCAAUAUUUUUUUAUGAAAAAAAUUGUUGCAGGCCAUAUUGGGCCAAAAAUUUUUGUGUGUCAGGCCCAUGUAACAAAUAUUAAUUAAUUUAAAAUCCAACUAGAUUAAUCUAAAGAAUUAUUGCAUUCUUAUUGCUGACUGCAUACAAUUUUGACGCCAAUUUCAUAUAUACACAUACUAUCCAUUUUUGGCUCGACCUAAUUUACAUGGCAACAGUGGCCCAAUUAGCACCCCAUCUGUUUGGUCUAGAACAAGUAAAAUUUACAUACACACAAAUGAGGAAGCACAAAGUUGCACCGAAUGCAUCUUUCAAAGGGAUUUGCACAAGAACAGCAGCAGUAGCAGGUAUCAACAAUCAAAUUCUUCACCAUGAACUAGACUUCUGAUAAUCAUGCUUCAUCAUUUUAUACGCUGUAAAAGAAAUAAACUGGUGCAUGAAACAUGAGACAUUAACUCUGCAAAAGUGACACUUGACUCUUUAAAUAAACUAAAAGUAAACUAACAAUGUUUAUGGUUGUAGGUGCAGCCCUACGUAAUAAGACCACAAGCAACGGCUUUGCUUACAUUUCUUAUUUACUUCCAUCUUCUCAAGAAUUUCUAGCAGCCUUGCAGUUAGGGAUGGCAAUCGGGUGGAUCUGGACCUGAGACCCGUGGGUUUCAGAUGGGGGCGGGUCUGGAAUUCCCCUCACGGGUCUCGGGUUCAGGAACCCAGGGCGGGUACGGGACCGGGUUAUGGAUUCCCCCGUCCCACGAAGCACGAAGCGGCUGCUGGCCUGCUCCCACUCCAUCUCUCACCUGCCGAUCUGGCCCAUCAGACCUUCUACUACCACAGCUCCCGACUCACCCCCUCCAUCUCUCAUCUGCUCGUGCUACCUCUUCUCCAUCUCUCACCCGUCACCCAUGCACCUAGAGGCGUUGACGACCAGUGCGCCGUCGCACCCCCGCGUGGCUGGCCCUAUCCCUAGUGGCAGCGGCGGCCAGCCCCCCUGCGCGGCCGCCCUACGACCAAGACGGGGCCAUGGACGGUGGCGGCGGCGGAUCUCCUCCUACCUGGCGGCACCACGCCUCUGCCGCGCCGUCCCCCCUCUCUCUCCCCGCGCCGCCGGCCGCUCCCUCCCUCUCUCUCCACGCCGCCCCCUCCUUCUCUCCCCGCGCCGCCGGCCAGGAGGAGGGUGCGGUGGCGCUGGUAGAGGUGAGGGGCGGCAGCGGUGCUGGCAGAGGUGAGGGGCUCGGGUUUCGGGGUCUCCGUCGGGUUUCGGGGCCCCGCGGGGUUUGGGGAUGGGUGCACAUUUUCACCCGAAAUGAGAUUCAGGGCCGGAUCAGGUUUUAUUCUCGGGUUUCGGGAACAGGUUCACGGAAGUUCCACCCAACCCCGACCCGUCCCGUUGCCAUCGCUACUUGCAGUGAAUUCGUCAACCUGCCUUAUCCUGAAAUUAGGAAAUGACAGAUUUCUGUUGAUACGACUCCUUAUAAGCUUAUCAAAAAAAGAAAUCAUUGUACAGCUAGGCAAAUCAAAAAUAGGCUAGCCGCUCAAUAAUGUUUAACAGUCUAACAGAGGAGUAUAAAUAAACUACUGAAAGGUAGUAGGCACAGCUCGAGCAUCAUGCAGACAAGCCAUCCACCUUGUUGGAUGGCAUUAGUGACCAAUGUAGAAGAGAAGUAGUAAAUAACAGAGCAAAAGACUAUGGCAAGGAAAAAGUUCCAUUCCUUGACAAUAUGAGGCCUACAACAAAGUCCAAUGGUCCUAGUUUAAAUAUUGUACUUCAUAUGGGUAGAUCAAUUGAAUGUUUUAGAUUUAAAACCACAUGUCAAGAUGUAACAUUUACCUCCCAAAUGGUGACACAGGUUGAAUGUCUCACAGCUCUACAAGUCUCUGUUCAGUACCUAGGUGGUCAUGUAACUUUGGGUCGAGCACCUGAAUAAUAGAAGCAAGAUGCUGAAGCUGGUUUGGUAUCCAGAGUGUUAAAAUAUUUAGAUCAGAGCACAGAGCAGGGAGCACGUGAAGCAAUAUUCAGAUCAGAGUAGACAGACAUGUAAAUCCUAGAUUGAUACAUGUAUGCUCUAUUUAUGAUAUCAUUUGGUCAAGCUAUCAGGUUAACAUUUCAAUACACCAUCAUCUCUAUUAGAAGUUCAUGUCCAACAAGGUUAAAUAACAUUUGGUCAAUAUUAUUCUUUUUGUGCAGUACAAUCUUUUACCUCACAAAGGAAACAGAAGGUUGCACCCUCUUGAUGCUACCUGAAAGCAUUACAUGCACGCUACUACUGAUUUUUUUUACAGAAAAUAGAAUAACUAAAGGUCCAACUGCACACUUGUGUUUGAUGUGUUGAAAUAAAAAUGGCUAUUAUUCUACUACCAGAUUGAAGGAUUUAAAUUCAUAAACAAAUUUUAUUGUAGCAUGGAUUACUGACAGAUUUUUAAAUCCAGGUAAUAAUAAACAAGGCAACCAUACACAACAAAUUGAUCUAACAUCUUAUUUCCCACAUGCUUGUUCAUAGAACAUUCAGUCAAAUAUGCAAUUCAGACUUUGCCAAGAAUGUGCCAGAACUCAAUGAUUAAAUGGUAAUUUUCAGAUAUACCUUGGUGCUUUUCUCCUGCCUAGUCAAAGUUGAUAGGUGGUGGUUUUAACAUGCAGUAGAUGAGCUGAGGGGAUGAGAAGGGACAGAACGGACAUUGCGGCUGUCUAGUGCGUGUCCAUGCUCCCUUGUGCUGCAGUAAUGCCUCUGCCAGCUGCGAUACGUCCACAUCCAUUUCCCUUAGCCAUAACUCCACGCAACAAAAGUCCUCCCUUUCCUAUGCGCAAACAAAGAGCCCAAUCCACAUUCAACCACAGCGAAUAAAACAACCCACAAACAAUAUAAGGAAUCAGGAGCAAAAUCGAAUGGAAAAACAUUCUUGUUCACCUGGUUUCGAUGGAGCCGCCUGCUGCAUCCCCAAGAGCCGCCGCGUGGCAUGGGGUGAUGCGCGUGAUCCGUACCAGCGAAGGCAAGCAACAGGUGGUUGUUGACGUUCGUUAUUGACACACUUUUAGUACUAUUUAAUCAGUGUUUUCAUUCUUAAUCUUAUAUUGACCCGCCCCUUGGCACCUAAAAUAACUCCAUUAUUACAUAUUAUUGUAUUUUAGAUUAUAUUGCAUUAUGACAGGAAAUACGACAUAAUCAAGGGGGUUUGCAUAAAGAACUUAAUGGAUAACAUGGGUCGUCGAGAGAAGCCAACACGAGGAAGGAGAGGACUAAAAGGACCAUGAAGGGAUCGGCCAAGGACCCUCUGGGCCCAUCAGCCUGACCCAUUCCAGGGUCCAGUCGACCUUCCGUUUCUUCAGCGUGAAGUCUACGAUAAUGUCUAGGGUUUUUUCACCAACAUUGACCCAGAGCCGCUGCCUACGGGGAACUAUAAAUACCCCUUCAUGAACUUCAAGGAAGAGAAAGGGGGAAAGAGAGAGGAGAAAACACCACGUAAACACCAUCUAUCACCGCCACAAUGAGGAAAAACGGAGAAAAGAUUGGAUCUAGAAGAAGCCACGCGAAGCGAAGCACCAGAGCAGGGAGAAACCUCCCAAACCGAUCAGCUUGGAGGUGCCCAGUUCUUUCAUGCAUGGUGAUUACAUCUACAAGUGAUCCUAGAUUCCUAAGACAAGCGUUUUAUCUAUCUUGUUUACAUUCAUACUCUCUAUCUGUUUUAAUCUAAGUCACUAGUUUGUUAGAUCAAUCUUAUCAUAUAAAAAAACCUUCGGUUACAUAGAUUAGUGCUUAGUUAAGCGUGCAAAUCCACUUAUUCCACAGAUUGAUAAACCUUGGAGGGAAGAGUUACCACUGAUUCAUACGCUUGCGGUUCAUAAAUUGAUGUGCUAACUGCCAUCAACAAGCUUUUCUGGCGCCGUUGCUGGGUAACAACUCAGUUUUGCUAUGUUUAACUUUGUAUUAAUUUUUGUUAACCCCUAACAUCUAACUUUUUCUCUAGAAAAGAAAACCUUUAUUUUUGUUUUUGGUGUCUAGAUGGCUCUAAUAAAUCACUACAAGGAGGAAGGAGAAAAUUCGCUAAGGGACUAUGCAAUGCCAUUAACCGAUCAAUUCGAUAUGUAGAAAUCCGACUCAGUGCUUGCAGCCAAGGAGUACAUCAUGGAUAAAGGAAUAAUUGACAUAGCUGGAAGACAUCCUUUCCAAGGAGUGGAGACUGAUAAUCCAUAUAGACACAUUGAGUGAUUCACGAUGCUAUGCAACACGCUACAACAAGGAAUUCCGCCAACUUGGUUCAAGUGGAAUCUAUUCCUGUUUUCACUUGAAGGUGAAGCGAGAUGAUGGUAUGCAAAAGCUUCUUUCGACACGAAGGGGAAUUGGGAGACACUGAUGAUAAAGUUUUAUGAGAGAUUUUUCUCUAUUAGCAAACUUUAGAACCUUCGGAAGGAAGUUAUCAUGUUUGUGCAAGAAGAAGAUGAAGGAAUAGAUCAAGCUAGUCAGAUUCAACGAACUACUCGAACAAGGACCUAAGCUUGGAUUUUCAGGUGAUGUGUUGUUGUAUACAUUUUAUUUUUCACUAACCCAAAAAUACCGGGAAUUUGUUCAAAUGUGUGCAGGAGGAGACCUUAUGAAAAAAGACACUUAGGGAGGUUGCUCAACUUCUACAAAAAAUCGGCGGAGGAGCAGCCGUAAACAGAGAAUGGGAUAAAUAUCAAUCUGGGGCAUGAGAGGAAGGAAAUCAAGAACAUAUACUUGCUGGAAUUUUCAGAAAAGAACUCUAGAAAGAUGAGAAGGAAGACCUGUGGUGAAAAAAGAAGAAGAACCAGCACAGAUAAAGGAGAAACCUACCCGGUGCAUCAAAUACGACAAACCAAAAAUAUCAGCAGCUCGAAGCUUGGCCCUGCGGAAGUUUGAACAAAUGGAUUGGAUUCCUAUCGAUUUCAGCGAGAUAUUUGAUAAAUAUAGGCCAUAUCCAAAUCAAAAGGGGUCAACCAGUGCCAUAGAGAUGGAUUUUCCACUAGAGAGACACACUGGGUAUAUGCUUGACAAGGAAACAGUUGGAGAAAUCAUUCAAAAACUUUUCAGCGAAGAAGUAAACCCAGAAUAUGUUGUUGAAGUAAAGAGAGUCAUGGGAGUAAAACCUGAAGCAUCACCUUUCGCCAGCCUAGUGCAGAUAUACGCAAUUGGGAUCAAUAAAAACAAGGGAGUGUAUUUGCCUACACCGCAUAUUGACUGCAUGAUCAAUGGGAAGAUUAUCGACAAAGCACUCUGUGAUAUUGGAGCACAUAUAAGUGUCAUGUCUUCAAAACUUUAUGAUAAACUUUUUAGUAAGACUUUGCAACUUGCUCCAACACCAAUUAAAUUGAUCAUGGGAGAUGGUAGAACAACCGAACCUUUGGGUGUGCUUAGAGAUCUAAAAGUUGAUAUCUCAAAUAAAUCUAUACCAACUGAUUUCUUUGUUAUUGAUCCUUCCCAUGAUAAACAUGAUGAUAUAAUCCUUGGUAGACCUUUUCUUAAAUUGGUAAAUGCUAUGCUUGAUGCAGGAGAAGGCAAAGUAACAAUUAAUUUUGAUGGUGCUAGAAAUACUUACAAUUUUCUGCCUGCAUCUUGGAAAAAUUUGCAUCUAUCUCCUUGUAACGAGGAGGUAGAAAGGGUAUGCUUUGCUAAAAAUUUUAGGGAGUCUUUAUUAAGAGCAAUGGAAAAUAAUGAGGAUGACCAAAAUAACAAAUUGGGAGAAGAAACUAAAGUAUUGUCACCUCAAUAUGGAACUCUGGAGGAAGAAAAAUUCGAAGAUAUUGGAGAAUUGAUGCAACAAAAACCAGAAGCACCAGAUGUUGAGCAGAAGCCGUUACCCAAGGGAUUAAAAUAUGAAUAUUUUAGGAAUAACAAGACGUAUCCAGUCAUUGUUAGCGACGACUUAAGCAAAGAAGAAAUUGAGAAGUUGCUGAAUUUAUUGAGAAGACAUCAAAAAGUGCUUUGGUACACGAUCAAAGACUUAAAAGGAAUUGGUCCAGCCUUCUGCACUCAUCGGAUAUAGUUAGAAAAUCAACAUAAGCCAGUUGUGGAGGGACAGAGAAGACUAAGCCAUGCUAUGCACGAUGCAGGAAAGAAGGAGGUGAUCAAAUUGCUUAAUGCUGGGAUUAUUUAUCCAGUACCACACAGUGAAUAGGUGAGCCCAGUGUAUUGCGUACCUAAAAAAGGAGAACUUACUGUCGUAACAAAUGAGAAGAAUGACCUGACCCCUCAGAGGACGGUAACAGGGUGUUGGAUGUGUAUCGACUACUGGAAGCUGAAUAAGGCAACUAGGAAGGAUCACUUCCCUUUGCCUUUAAUUGAUGAAAUGCUUGAAAGGUUAUCAAAGCAUUCUCACUUUUGCUAUCUUGCUGGAUGUUCCGUGUUCUUUCAAAUUCCUAUACAAUCAGAUGAUCAGCAUAAGACCACGUUCACUUGUCCAUAUGGAACUUUCGCUUAUAGAAGGAUGCCUUUUGUAUUGUGCAAUGCACCUACAUCUUUUCAAUACUGCAUGAUGGCUAUAUUUUUAGAUUUCAUUGAAGAUACCAUCGAGGUAUUUAUGGAUGAUUUUUUAGUUCAUGGUACAAGUUUCGACAACUGUCUGGAAAAUCUUAAUAAAGUUCUUAAGCAAUAUAUAGAAGUUGAUCUAGUUCUAAACUUGGAGAAGUGCCACUUUAUGAUGAAACAAGGACUAGUAAUUGGGCAUGUCAUCUCAGAAAGAGGGAUAGAAGUUGAUAAAGCAAAAAUCAAAACUGUGGAAAAGUUGCCUCCGCCUAUAGAUAUAAGGUCAUUGAGAAGCUUUCUCGGACACAGGAUUUUAUAGGAGAUUCAUUAAGGAUUUUUCAAAGAUCACCAAACCAUUGACACAGCUCCUGCAAGAAGAUGUGAAUUUCGAGUUUGAUGAAGACUGCCUCUAAGCUUUCAGAACUUUAAAACAAUCGCUCAUUAGUGCGCCCAUCAUUCAACCUCCAGAUUGGAAUCUACCUUUCGAAAUAAUGUGCGUUGUAAGUAAUUAUGCUAUUGGGGCAGUCCUUGGAUAAAGAAAAGAAGGGAAGGUACGCGCAAUUUACUAUGCUAGCAAAACAUUAAAUGAGGCUCAAAUAAAUUAUGCAACUACGGAGAAAGAAUUGCUUGCGGUAGAGUUCACUUUUGAAAAAUUCAGAUCUUAUAUUGUGAACUCCAAGGUGAUUGUGUACACCGACCAAACUGCGCCUAAAGAUCUUUUGUUCAAGAAAGAUACUAAACCACGUCUGAUUUGCUGGAUAUUGCUGCUACAAGAAUUUGAUGUGGAUAUCAGAGAUAAACAGGGAUCAAAAAAUAUGGUGGCUGACCAUUUGUUGAGAAUGUAUCAACAAGAUGAUGAAAAAGAGCCUAUUGAAGAUCAAAUGAGGGAUGAUCAUCUAUAUAGAAUUCUCGACAAGGAUACUUGGAUGAAUGACAUUAUUAGAGCAAUAAAAAGAGCUCCCUUGAAUCACUUACACAGGAAUGAAAGGAGAAAAGUGGUUGCUGAAAGUAAGAAAUACUAUUGGUCUCCACCUUAGCUAUAUAGAUAUGGAGCCGAUGGAGUAUUAAGAAGAUGCAUCCCAAGGGAAGAAAGGGAAGCGGUACUUCAAAAAUGUCAUUCAUCUGAAUAUGGAGGACAUUAUGGAUAUUUCAAAACUCAAGCAAAAGUCUGGGCAAGAGGAUUUUAUUGGCCAGAGAUGCAUGAAGAUGCAAAGAUAUUCGUUGCUACUUGCCCGGAAUGCCAAAGAACAGGAAAUAUUUCAGCUAGAAAUUCUAUGUUGUUGAACUACAACUUGAAGGUGGAUUUCUUUGAUAUUUGGGGUAUAGAUUUCAUGGGAUCAUUCUUAAAGUCACAUGGAUUUGAUCACAUAUUGGUCAUGGUUGAUUACGUGUCUAAAUGGGUAGAAGCUAAUCCAUAUUGGAAGGCGUCAACAGAAGAAUCAAUUCACAUGAUCAAGACUAUAAUAUUUUCCAGGUAUGGAGUGCCAAGAAUUUUGAUCAGCAAUGGAGGAUCACAUUUCACAGGAAAAGAUUUUGGCAAAUAUCUAUCAAAAUUGGGGAUUGAACAUAGAGUAUCUAUAGCCUAUCAUCCUCAAAUGAAUGGACAAGCAAAAACUUCUAAUAAACAGUUGAAAGAUAUCCUGAAGAAGACAGUGAUCAAAUGAGGGAAGGAUUGGUCAAAAAAGUUAGAUGGAGCAUUAUGGGCAUACAGGAUGGCUCAAAACACCUAUAGGUAUGACCCAAUAUCAAUUCGUCUAUGGAAAAACAUGCCACCUUCCCGUCGAACUCGAACAUAAAGCUUAUUGGGCUAUAAAGGAGAUGAAUCUUGAUGUUGAUGCUGCAAGAGUAAAAAGAAGAAUUUAGAUCAGUGAAUUAGAAGAGACGAGGCUUAAAAGCUUACUACAGUGUAACCAUUUAUAAAGAAAGGAUAAAGAGGUGAUUCGAUAAAAGGCUUCGCAAGAAAGAAUUUCAAAGAAGGAGCAAAGUGCUACUGUUCAACUCUAGGUUCAAACUCUUCGAUAAAGGAAAAUUGAUGAGCAAGUGGGACGGACCAUAUGUGGUUUAUUCUAUAUCACCUACCCAAGUAGUAACGAUUAUGGGCAUCAAAGGAGAUCAAUAUGUUAUGAAUGGAUAGUGACUAAAGGUAUUCUUGUAACUUGACAUCGUGCCCAUCAAUUAUAUUGGCGUUUACACCAUAGAGGAAGAAUGGCCACGUCAAGCCUGAUGACACUAAAACAGGUACCUUGUACAUACUCUAUCUUACAUUAUAUUAUUUUCUUUUGAAUUUUUAUGUGGUACUCAAAUAUUGGAUAUAUUUUUAGACGUACGCGCUGCCACGAAAAAGCGAAGAGUAGAGGGACCAAAAACCCAUAGGCUGAUCAGCCCAGAGACCCCAGGGCGAUCGGCCUGGAAGGUUUUCACCUCCGAUUUAGUUCCCCCUUUCCCAUCUUUGGUAAUGACAGAACAUGGAAGUGAAUUUUUGCGGGAAGGAGCGAGGAAGUUUUUUGGAAAUGCAUGGAUCCUUGGCCAAGACUUCAAGAGUAUAUAAUGAGGUCAAUUGGAGCUCGAGUUUCACAUCUAUACAAGCAAUUCAGAUCCACCCAAAUCAGAAAAAAAGUGCAAUGGCAACAUCCAGGAGCUCGGGAGACAAGAGGGGGCACCAACUGGCGAAGGAGGAGGUCAUGCCGAUUGGCCUAACCUUCCCAGGCCGAUUGGCACCAGCCCCUCCCUUGGCCGCCACCUUCACCCUUCACAUGGAAGCUAAGAGGUGCAAGUUAGGUCCCCAAACUCUGCCAAGGACCGCUCGUAACGCUUGCAUCAGUGUUGGAGGCAAGGCGCCGUCAGGAAAGCUCGCAGAUCACAAGUUCAUCAUCCUCUCGAGUGAUGAUGAGGCACCGAUGAAGAAGAAGGAGGCCGUCAUCUCUCCCACAAUACGUUCAGUAAGGCUCCUCCGGAUCAAGCACAAGAGAUAUGUGGAGAAGACGCCCGAGUACUCACUGGCUCACUAUGGAGGUGAUAGCGAUUGGGAGGCCGAUAGGAGCCCUGGAUCGUGGGGUGCUGCAGGCCGUGAUGAUGAAGAAGAUGCCAACAUGUACUGCGAUUGGGCUAAUGAGAUGAAGAAAAGUAAGGAGGAAGAGGAACGUCGUAAAGACAAGAGCAAAGAAAAAGAUCUAGAAGACAAUGGGCUAGAACUGGAGGAGCAUGAUCGUAUGUGUUGUACCUCUUGCUGGAAGAACAUCCACUACCUCUUCGACACCGUCGAUACAUCAUACAGGCCUUGCAAGCUCUGGAUAAGAAGGUUGAAGACAGUGAUCGCCAUCAGGAAGAUGACUUCAAGUUCUUGCAAAGGAACGUGAGGAAGCUCUUCGGGAUGUGCGGCAAUAUGAGGAAGAACAGAGCUAAUUGGGAACGAAGCAACAACCGUCCCGUGUGCAAGCAGUGCGGCCAGCAUCACUAGUGCGUUUACAAGCGUCUCUCCCUUUGUACUUCAUUCGGUUAUGACGAGAAAGUCGUAGAUUUUAAGCGUGGGGGGAGAUCGCCGCUCGUAAGGAGUUUUUGAAUCUAGUUUGGUCGAGUCGAGUCAUGUCAGAGUCUAAAUUAGUUUUUUUAUUUCAAUCAAAAGUAGAUAAAGUAGUAGUCUUCUUAAGCUUCUUGGAAGACUUAGGCCUAGAUCGCUACUUUUGCGUCUUUCUGAGAAGAGGCAUGAAUAAAAUCGAGGAUUGUGCGAGUGUUUUUAGUGUCUACCUUGACUUGCUUCUCUUUUAUUUUGCUUUACAACUUUGGAUCAUGAGAUUUGUCUUGAAUUCUAAAUCUUAGUUGUAGAGUUUAGUAAUUGAUUUGUUUAUGCAAUAUCCAUGCUUUAUCAUGAUCAAGUGUUUUGGUUUGGAUUAUCCUUUAUGAGUAAGGUCUAAAUUGGAGGUGAUUUAAAAUUUUAUUGCUUAAAACCUUUGCAAAAACAAGAUUGAUCAAGUUCUUUAACCAGGUUGAGAGUUAUUAUUUAUCCUAGCCAAUGCCUAAAAGGAUUAGUUCGUACCACCAUAAGCAGAUUCGACGCUUUGAAUUGAGUUAGGAUAGCUCUCUCUUGGUCUGCUUUAAUUAUGAGCAUUGAUCUGUAUCUUUUACCAUCUCUGAUUUCUAACCUCAUCAAUAUUCAGCAAUGAGAGUUGUUUACUGGAACAAUAAUAUUUUCUAUUGCAUUCAUAAACCUGAACCAAAUAUUUCUUAAUUUUAUUACAUAUUCCUUGAACACAACCCAAUAUUCGAAGAUCUGUUCGGUUUCUGAUCGAGCUUUAUGAAAAAUAAGGAAAGGUACAAGAAAAGGAAGUUUCACCAGGAAGUUGAGCCAGAGUGGAGGAUAAGAGAGGCCAGGCCGAUCGGCCUGGGGUCUCCUUGCCUCAGUUUUCGCGCAGCAAGUUCUUGGAAGGCCUCUGGAAGGAUCUAAAACUAAUUUUUAUGAUGUGGUGUUCAUAGGAGGUUAGGAGAAGAGAUAAAGAAAGAAAUAAAGAAGGAAGGAAAGAAAGAAAAGUAUUGAGAAAGAGAAAAGAAAUAAUAGAAGAAAAAGAAAAAGAAAUAAAGGAGGAGUUUUUACUGUCAUAAAGAUCAAGAUAGGUUCAAACAAAAGAUGAACUUGUUUAUAGAACAGAUUUUCAUUCCAAUCAUGUGCAAUCCGAUGACGAGGACAUCGCUUGGGCCUGAGAGUCACUAUUUUAUUUGCAUUUGCACAUGUCCACCAUUCUAUAUCUUAUCAUCCUUGAAAACCUCACAUUAUGUGGAUAUUCUUAUGAUCAAUGGCUCAAAAGGUAGGCAACCACUAAAGAAUUUUCUUAAUUCGAUAAUAUAAGUAUUGAUUCCAUCUAGCCUUACCCAAGCUCCACCAUAUAAUUGAGUGAUUUUUAAGAGAUGAGAGCUUGCAUAUAAGUAGGAUAGCCACUAUUCAUUUGAAGGACAUGUAAGCACCUGGAAAAGAAUUCUUGUUUCAAUUUUGUUCCAGGGAGAUUGUUUUAUGCCGAAAGAAAAACCCUCCGAAGAAAGUCAGAAAGUAAGUGUAGUUGAUUCUUAAAGUUACUUGAUCUAAAUAAUAGCUGUGGGGAAUCUUUGCUUAGAUAAAUCUAUGAACACCCAUAUUUUGAUUAUAUUUUCUGCUCCUUGGAUCUUAUGUUUGAAGGCUAGGUACUUCAUUCACUUGCUCAGGUUUAGUUCAAGAUCUUUGUUCAACUCUGCUGGAGAAGUUUAUAGUCGGUUGACUUGCUCGAGGACGAGCAAGAGCUAAGCAUGGGGGGAUUGUUGACGCUCGUUAUUGACACACUUUUAGUGCUAUUUAACUAGUAUUUUCAUGCUUAAUCUUAUACUAACCCGCCACUUGGCACCUGAAAUAAUUCCAUUAUUGCGAAGCCAUUAUCUCUUGAUAUAUACUGCGAAGACAUUAUAUCCUGGUGAUUUUCAUUUGAGGGUGUUUUAGAGAGCAUUUUGGGGGUGGCUAUAGAUAAUCAACGUGAUAUUUAUCUCUUGAUAAUCAAAUUAUUUUGUGGUUUUCAUUCGAGGGUGGUUUAGAAAGCACCAAAUUGAUCUUUCACCGAAUAAAUUAUUACUGUUGUCAUGUUGGAGAUUGAAAAAUACGGAUUCCUUUCAUUGGCUCUGGAUAACCAUUUGUUCUGUCCAUUUUGCUCACUUCUAAGGCCCCAUUUGGUAGAGCUUCGGUGUGGCGGAUCCACUUCGGAUUAGCUUGAUUAAACAUGAUUAAGUCGCCUAAUAUGCGAGACUCAUGCCUUAGUCAAGUUAACAUGAAGUGCCGUCGGAUUUCAUCCGAUUUAACCACUCGAACAGGACCAAAUUAGCAAACUCACACGAAGGUGAGCGGUUCCAGAGAAUACAACAAGUCCACUGAGUUAACAAAUUAACCAUUUAGUUGGGCCAUAAAACACCAUCAGAGUUUACAAGGUUUGAAAUAAAACCACAGAAGAUAAAACAACAAGCGGAAGCUACUUCGUCGGGGUCGGACAUCCCUGGUGAGGCCAACCGGGACAUCAGUGAUCCCGCUCCUCGCCGUCCGAGGAGGGAUCCCACUCGACCGUCCAACCCGGAGGGAGUUGGGGCGGCCAAGUGCCAGCGGAAAGGGGCUCAGAAGCAGCAACUUCACCUGAAAAAGAAGAGCCACAACAAGGCUGAGCUACUAAGCUCAACAAGACUUAACCGACCGGGAGUAGACUACUCUACCACUUCUAGACAUGCAAGGCUCUUUGGCUGAGGGGGUUUGCUUGCCAAAAGCAACUACAGUGGGUCCUUGCUUUGAAGUUUUAGCUCAGGUUCCAAGUUCAUUAACCAGUCUAAGUUUGCAACCUACUUCGAAUCAAACAUAGAACCAACCAAAGGUAUAUACAUCAUCAUCAAGACCAUGUCAUUAUCAGAUUCCUUUACUUACUCAGGGUGACAUAGCGAUCAAGUAGUCUCAAACUGUGAGAGGCAGACGAAUCGAUUCGAGUUUCUUAACCAUGCAUGGCGAACCUAAUCUCACGACAUCCGCGUACCACAAGGGCCGCUUCCUGUGUCGGCCGUCCCCAUUAAUUCCCAUGCGCAUGUCAGGUCCAAACUUCCCUUGGCAUGCAAUGCUCCAUAGUCCCGGUCUCUAUCGUACUGUGACCGCACUUGCACCCACAUGAUGCACCAUGGGAACCUCGUUCCAGGGACAGCAGGGGUAUAAGCCACGCCCUAGUUCAAUUAGGUACUAGGCUUCCCCAUCCCAUACUAGGUAUGAGAUUAGUACUUUCAAACACUUGAUCACGAACACCACCACUGUCGGGCCUUAGCAAGUUUCAUAGACAGACGGGGCGAUCAGCCGACCACCAAAAAGUUACCCAAAACCCUGCCCCGUCCAUCGUCCUUAUAGUUGUAACAGAAGGGUAAACAUCCAACUCCUACAACUCGCGAGUGAUAGGGAAUCACUCGGCUUUUAUCGUUUCCUAUUUAAGCAAGCAUCUACUCGGUCCAACAGCUAGUGUUCAGAUCAAUGGAGCUAAGUUAUGCAUCUAUGGUUCCAAACAACUCCUAUACGAAAAUGCACAAACAUGUUAAAGAAGGCAUGCGCAAGUUUGGGAAACACAGGGGUUUCAUGCAUCCGGGGCUUGCCUUCAAGCGAGAAGGAAGGAAGCUGUUCUUCUGCUUGGGCGGCUUCGGCUUCUGGGGGCAGGAGCUCAGCUACACCGUCAUCUUCUGGCGCCGGGUGCAGCUCAUAGUAGCCGUCGGCGAGACGCAGCUCUACACGAAUGCAAUGCAUUAGUUAGCGUUUAGACGGUUAUUUCAAUAGCAACACUUGCAAGCCUGAGCCCAGAAACUUGCGACAAGUUACAGGAGGGUGGGGAGGUUCAAAGGAGUCGAUGGAGAUCAAGGUAUAAGGGUCAGGUGGGGAGGAACUUAUGAUCUGACCCUUAGACUAGAGGAAUAGAUGUGUUGGGGGGUCCUCAGACUUGACGCUGAGAGUCCCCGAGUUUUACACAUAUACCCUCGGUUCAAGGAAAAAGAUACAGCCGAGCCCUCGGGCGAGGCGGAGAAGGGUCAGCGGAACAGACAGGGGUCGGGCGGUCAGCAGGGGUCGGACGAACAGAAGGGGUUGGACGAACAAAAGGGGUCGAACGAGGCGGAAAAGGGUUGGACGAACAGAAGGGGUCGGACGAGGCGGACAAGGGUCGGACGAACAGAGGGGUCGGACGAGGCGGACAAGGGUCGGACGAACAGAAGGGGUCAGACGAGGCGGACAAUGGUCAGCAGCUUACCUUCGUUUCACAGGUGAAGUUUGGGGUCAGGAAAGGAGCAGACUUGAGCGGAAGGACUGAAGCACUAAGACUUGGGAGGGGGCGAUGUCCGGCGGUGCUCCGGCGGCGGCGGUGCUUCUUGUGGACAACAAGCAAGCUUUAGCACAGCACGGAGGGGCAAGCGGCUGGGUGGAUUGGGAAGGGCGGCCGGGGAGCGGAGAGGAGAGUUCCGCAGGAACUUAGGCGGUAGCGCUUUGAGCACGAAGCAGAGGAACGGCGGUAGAGCGGUGAUGGCGAAGGGGACUCCGGUGGGACUCUGGCAUUCCCUUUUAUAGCUGCGCAGCAGAGAGAAAGGGUUGGAGCAGCGCGAAGACCGGGAAGAACGAUGGAGUGCGCUGCUGGGGCGGUGAUUGAGCAACGAGAGCGGUGGAGCAGGACUUCGGGGAUGACACCGGCGGCCACUGGGCACCGAUGACAGGGCGGAGCAGGCGUGGUUUUGCCGGUGGUUGAGAUUUGGCGGAGGCGGGCGUCGUCGUGCGGUGGAUCUGAUGGAAGUGACCGGGGGGAACGGCGCUAGAAGCGAGGUUGCUCAGGUGAGAGGUCAGGCGGGCCGUUGCUGCACGGGCGAGCGCGAAGCAACACUCCGUCGGAGCGCAGCGCUGACAAGGAAGGAAAGGAGUUGUCGCGGCCAGGGCCGGGGUUGGCGGAGGAGGAAUCGUCGCGUAGCGCGGACCUGGGCGGCGCGACUGUGGAAGGGCUACGGAAAAGACGGGAGACCUCGGGCCUUGCAGCCGGGAUCUGGCGAUGUGAUGAUGGGCGCGGGCGGCGAGAUGCUGCAGAAAGGGUAGCAGGGGAGCUUCCGCCGCGAUUGGGGAAGGGGGCGCGAGAAUCCAUCCGGUCGCGGGCCGAAGACGAGGCGGAGCGGCGGGCGUCGGAAGAGUUGAGCCACGCGGCUGGGGAAAACUGAAGCGGGCAUGCAACUCGAGUGCGCCUGUCGCGGAAGAUCUGGGGAAAAAAGAUCUAGUGGGCUCACCGGUCAGUCUCGGUGGUCCACUGCUCGAACUGAGGGGCGAUGCUGCGGGAUGGCUUAGGAAGAUCCGACGGUGGGUUGGGGGUCGGCGGGGUCGGAAUUGGGGAGACCACGGCGAGGGGUCGGAUCGCAGGGGUCGAAAGAGCUGGAGGUUGAACACUUAGGCUUGGAAAAACUAAGACAGGUGAUCAGGGGCUCGGAUUAAGAUUGACGCGAAGGAUUUUUGUCCGAGGCCGUCACAUUCGGCUUCUCAUAAAAUGGCUUCGGCUUCGGCUUCUUCGGUGGAGUGGCUUUUUUAGUGAAGCCGGUGAAGCCACUUUUUUCGACUUCUCCUCUCUAGUGUAAGCCGUUUUGCGGCUUCUCCCCGGCUUUGAUGGUGAAGCCGUUUUGAAAUUGACCUUUUGGUAGGGCUUCACCAAAAGCCGGUGGAGAAGCACUUUGAGAAGCCCUACCAAACGGGACCUAAUUUUGUAUAUUAAUAUCAUGGAAAUAGUGGGUCAAGUGCUGUCAAGUAUGAACCUGUUUAAAUCGUUAGCAAUUUUGAUUAUGGCAUGGGCCUGAGUUUGUAGAACUUCCUGACUCUAGUCUAGCUCAAAGUUUUUGGUCAUGUUUAACUUGGGAUUUUGUACUGUUUGGCUGGCCAUGUUAGCUUAUUACUUCACCUGGGAGUGCGUUAUUGGUGUGUUACUGUAUCUGAGUGCUACAUGCAGAUCUCUGUCUAGUGUGAUUUCUUUAUCUCAUAUCUUUGUAUUAUAGCCCUACCAUCUUAAUUGUACUGUAUCUUUAUGCUACAUGACAUGUUGUUUGCAAGGCUAAUUUCCCAUCAUUAUUCUUGUGCAGCCAAGCUGGCGCAGGCCAAAGGGUAUUGACUCCCGUGUCAGGAGGAAGUUCAAGGGAUGCACCUUGAUGCCGUACAGCUCUGACAAGUCGACCAGGCACUACCUCCCCAACAAAUUCAUCAAGAAGUUUGUGGUGCACAAUGUUGUUGGGAUACGAGGUAGGCUACACUAGCGCAAAUCACAAAUUUCUACCGCGUAAAUCAGGAAAACUGCUGUAUAAGGAUCACGGGAUUACCACUUGACGUACUACUGGUGCGGAAGAUAUAGAUUCGCGUCGAUGCAGCAAAGUCGAUCAGCGUAGUCAUACGUAGUUGAUCACGUCGACGUCCAGCAGCUCCUCAGUAGCUCGUCCACGUGCAGCAAGAUCGCCCUCGUGCCGUGGCUCGUCGUCAACUCGUCGUGGCUCGUCGGCGGCUCGUCGUGGCUCGUCGGCGGCUCGUCCAAGUGCUGCAGGCGCAACACCUCCAAGGUAUCCACACGUGCAGGGAGGAAGCGUCGUAAUCCGGACUGCUAGAUCCGUGAGUUGCAACAGGCGAGGGCGUGGGAGGCGCGGCAGAUGUGUUUCGCCAAAAAGGUGUAAACCCUAGGGCGCCCCCACCCCUCUAUUUAUAGAGGUUCCUAACGGGCCUCUGGGUCCGAGGCCCAUUAGUACUUCUAAACCUAAUCAAACUCGGAUCACAUCCGAAUUGGGCUUCCAGCCCCUUAAGUGUGUGACCCUAUGGGUUCGGAUACGUAUAGACAUGGCCCGAGUACUCCUACUCAGCCCAAUAGUCGGUAGCGACCUCUAGCAAGACGUGCCAAUUCCUAUACGCACACGAAGAUCAUAUCAGAUGAACCAUCACAACAUUAUAUACAUGCUAUUUCCUUUGCCUCACGAUAUUUGGUCUAGCUUCAAGCCGACCGCUCUUUCUCAAUCCUAUGAUUCGGAAUCCCUUUGUAGGUUAACUCUUAACCAUACGUAGCAUGGCCAUGCAUUUUCGGAUCCGAUCACUCGAGGGGCCCAGAGAUAUCACUCUCAAUCAGAGAGGGGCAAAUCUCAUCUUGAUUGACCAUGUCUCAUAGCAUGCUUCUUGACAAACCCGAAAGCUACCUUUAUAACUACCCUGUUACGGCAUAGCGUUUGAUAGCCCCUAAGUAGGUCAAUCCACAUCUUGAAUACAUGCGACAAUCUCAGGUCUAAGGACAAAACGUAUAUGUUGUUUGAAGAGAGAACUACUUCUCAGUUGGGUCAGUCCUAGCACAUGUCUUCACAUGUGUCCACAUUAUUAGUUCAACAUCUCCAUGUCCAUGACUUGUGAAACAUAGUCAUCAACUAAUACAUGUGCUAGUCUAAUAUUCAUGUGUGUCCUCAUAUGAACUCCGACUAGGAACAACUUCAGAAUAACCAUACAAGUAAAGAGUUUCACACACAAUUCACAUAAUUGCAAAUCAAUUCAAGUAACCUUUAAUGGAUAUUUAAGGAACAUAAUAUAUAAAUCAUGGAUACAAAUGGAAUAUCAUCAUCUCUAUGAUUGCCUCUAGGGUAUACCUCCAACAAAUGUCUCUGAGCUGGAGUUGCUCAUGAUGCACAACAGGUAUGAAUUUACCAAAGCUGACUGUAGAAGUUAACAUGUUCUCAUUCUGACCUGUUUUCCUGUGUGAUCAAAACCUGUUUGUAGUAACUUUUACUGAUGCAAUGCCCUUCCCUUGCUCACAUACAGGACCUACUGUGCUGAGAUUGCCCACAAUGUCUCAACAAAGAAGCGCAAGGAGAUUGUUGAGCGUGCUGCUCAGCUUGACAUCGUGGUCACCAACAAGCUCGCCAGGCUCCGCAGCCAGGAGGACGAGUAGGCUGCUUGCUCGUCAGGACGACUGUUGCUUGUCUUUCUCAGCUUUAGGAAACUACUCUGCUUUGUGUCGGUGUUACUACCGAGGAUACCUGUUAUGCCAACCCUUCUGCCUAUCAGGAGCGACUCUAGUGUGGGAAAUUCUACUGUUACCGUACCCCCAUCUGAAUUAUCUGCAUGUUAUUGGGAACUUAUCUUCCGCAUAGUUGCUGUGGAUAUACCUGUGAUGAUUCACAGUUUACGCGUUGAAUAUGCGAUGCACAGUUCAGUUGUGUGCGUUAAGCAUGAGAGGAAUUGGUAUAGAUCCACAAGCACGUCGCGGCACCGUGCCGCACAGCGCGACCAGAUGUUAGUGGUUCGUUGGCUCAGCUUGAGCCUUAAUGCACUGUGUGGUUCGUUGGCUUAGGCUAGAGUGUUCGGAAACUAAGAUGGGUAGCCUAAGAGCAUGGACGUUUCUACAUGUCAGGGAUCUCAUAGAUCAUCCCAUGCAAUGUUACAUAGAAAUUUUGAUGAUGCAAAGGAGAGAGAGUGAGGAGAGAGAAAUAGGUCAUUAUUUCACGAAAUAACCGCCUCAUGAGCUAAAUUUUAGACUAUGAAACAACUCAACAACCAUUGUACAAAUUGUUAUUGUCGUGCAACUCAUAAUAUUUCUUUUUUCAUAUGCACAAAUUAAGAAAUUAUAUAGCUCUACUAGAGAACUUAAAAGACAACCCAUUAUACAGGUUGUCUGGUGAAUCAUCUCAAGAUUACGUCUCGAUGCAUGAGACCGCCUCUUAAAUGAUACCAAUAUACUUGCCCUAAGAGCAUCUCCUUCCUAAAACGGCUAAAACUGCCUAAAAGUCUGUCAUACGAGCUGUACGAAUUGCCCUCUUCUCUCACGCAAGAGAGGCCAACCAUCGCAUUUGGAAAUUUCCGCCUCGUGCUAUUGCCACGCCACCCACACUAACUCUCUCCGUCUUUGAGUGCCACCCCAGCCCGCCCCGACCAGAUCUCACCGCAUUGCCGUCUAGGAGUCGAAAAAUCACCACUUCACGUAUGAACUUCAAAUUAGAUGAAUUUUUUUAAAAAUCAGUUGAAAUUUUCUUUUAUGCAUAUGUAUCUCCCUAGUUUAUCGGGGUGGACCAAAAUUAGAAUUGCCAAAUUCGCUUGGGAGGAUUGAGUAGUCAAGCUCCAAAGUUUCUGCAUGCUUUGUAAACAACGAGCUUGAUUUCUAGAGAUCACAACUGGUUGAGCUGAAAGUUUUUGUCAUUGUCCAUUAUGUGCUCCUAAGGACAAAAAAUAUAAAAAAAUAUCUGAAAAAAGUGUUCCAGAAAUACAAUGACAAGUGAAAAAGAGAAAAAAAAGAAAAAUAGGGGCACAUACUGAUGUCGGCAUGGCAAGGCCGCCGGCUGGAGCACCUCUCUGAACACAGAUCCGAGCGCAUGGGAAUCUAUCAGGUUGGGCUGGAGAUCGAUUUGCCGGUCUACGGCGCACUCACGCACAGCCCACAAACCGCUGCACUCACGCAUGGCCCACAAGCCGCUGCUCCUCGCGCACUUGAUGGAGUGGGUAACGCUAACGCAUCCAGACCGUCCAAUCGGUGCCCGAUCGCCUCUCCAUCCCUUCUAGAUGAAAACGAUCGGGAACCGUUGGGAAAACAUAACCACUUUCGUUACUGUAUUUUUUAGUCAGGAACAGGAGCGGGAAUGGAAAAGUCGGACGUUAAAACGAAAUCUAUAUUACGAGAUAUUGGGAAAGAAACAUUUCGAUUGGGAGCACGUCGAUAAAGAUCGGGAACCGAUAACUCUAAUCGGCACGCCAACACAUGUAACCACUUCAAACAUUUAGUUCGACAUAAUAGUUACAACCAUGCAUAUGGUAUAUGCAAACGAUACAUAAGCAAGGGGUGUUUGGAUACUAGGUACUAAACUUUAGCAGUGUCACAACAGAUAUUCGGAUGCUAAUUAGGAGGACUAAACAUGAGCUAAUUAUACAACUAAUUGCAGAACUUGUCCUAAUUCGCGAGACGAAUCUAUUAAGCCUAAUUAAUCCAUCAUCAGCAAAUGGUUACUAUAGCACCACAUUGUCAAAUCAUGGACUAAUUAGACUUAAUUGAUUCGUCUCGUGAAUUAGACUCCAUCUGUGUAAUUAGUUUUGUAAUUAGCCUAUAUUUAAUACUCCUAAUUAGCAUUCAAACAUCCGAUGUGACAGGUGCUAAACUUUAGCCGUGAGUAUCCAAACGGGCCUAAGGGGGUGUUUGGUUCCACGGACUAAAGUUCAGUCCCUAUCACAUCGAAUGUUUAGAUGCUAAUUAGGAGUAUUAAACAUAGAAUAAUUACAAAACCAAUUGCACAGAUGGAGGCUAAUUCGCGAGAUGAAUCUAGCCUAAUUAAUUCAUGAUUAGCACAUAUUUACUAUAGCAUCACAUUGUCAAAUCAUAGAGUAAUUAGGCUUAAUAAAUUCGUCUCGCGAAUUAGCAUCCAUAUGUGCAAUUGAUUUUAUAAUUAGCUCAUAUUUUGUCCUCCUAAUUAGUAUCUAAAUAUUCGAUGUGACAUUGAUUAAACUUUAGUCCGUGGAACCCACCACCCCAAUAAGUCUGUUAGCUGUUAGAUUAGCAAUGUGAGAAAAAACAACUGACGGUGCUGGCGCUGCUCCUAUACUAUGGGCCUACUCACGUUCUUUAUUUUCCCAUAUAGCCCGCUUACGAGAGAGAUAAGGCAAAUCUCCAUCUGUUCUCUAGGCACAAACACAGCAGCCUUAUCCUCUCCAUUGCUGCACAGGUGGGUAGCUGUAGCUGCGGGCGUGCGGGCAUACUAGAGAAGUGGCGAGAUGGGGCAGCCGCUGAGAAGGUGCGUCGGCCAGAGGGAGGAGGUGCGGUGUGUUGGUGAGAUGCAGCGGAGGGACAGGGGCCAUGCGGUGACCGGCGAUGGGAGCUCAGCGGCGCAAGACCUGCUCUCUCGUAGCGAGCCUGAGCGGCAUCGGGCGAGCACCAGAUGAAGUGCUUGGACGGCGUGGUCAACCUUUAGCAAGCUGGUGCGAGCAGCGGAUGGGGAUCCUUCUGCAGCUAGUCUGAGGAGCAAGGAGAUUGGGCGUGGGAGGCGGGAGUCAGUCGCAGAGGUUAGUCGGGAAAAAUCCGGUGAAAAAACUGGAAAUUCCCGAUAAAAAACGGAAACCGACAAUUUGGUGGGGGAAAACCUUCCAACCGAUUCCGAUCCCGAUUUCGUCAGAUUUUCUCGGAUUUUUUUCCUAUUUCGAAUUUUCCUGUAAAUACGGUAUUCGAUCGGUAUACACGGGAUGCGGUAUCGGUCGGUACGGGUAGGUUUCUACUUUCAUCCUAAUCCCUUCUGCGCUGGUCCGGUUAGGUUUCUCAAUCCUCGCAGAACGCAGAUUCCUCUUUGCCCCAGCGUCGCCUCUUGCGCUUCCCGAUCUAAUCCCCUUCCUCGCCAGUCGCCGCCGGCGCACCGCCCGCCCCCUCCUUCCUUCCCUCGCCCGCCGCCCACCCCCAACUCUAACCCCAAUCCCCAUGGAGGGUGGCGCAAGCGCAAGCCAUCCACCGGGUGAAGUGAGUGGCGGAAGCCAUCCUCCUGGUGAAGUGCUGUUGUCUCGCUCCGUCCAGUUCAAGGAUGAGAUGGUAGAGUUCAUCGAAGAACAAGGACUCCCGUCGCUGGAGAGCAUCAUGGAUGCAGCUCUCGAGGGCAUCCCGUCGUCGAAGAGGCAGACCGUGAUGCAGCGUGAGAUACUGCAUUAUCGGGAAACGGUGGAGAAGCAGGCAGAGGAUGCCCUUCGCGAGCGCAAACUCUGCUGUCCCAGUGCCACGAAGAAGGUCCCGGUGGUCUUCACCGGCGGCGAUGAUCCUGUCUUCUACGGUCAGGCGCUGCAGGGCAUUGAACCCCAUUUCAUCCAGGUUGCCCACCCCAACGAGGUGACCGCCCUGGCUCUUCGGGUGUCAUGGCCACGUUACUCUUCCUUCUACAGCUUCCCGCCUGGUGCCUUCAUCUCGAGCGCCGACCGAAACAUGCUCGUCCUAUAUGUUGGUCCUUACCGCCCCUGCCUCAGUCUACGGGGGUUUUAUCUCGCGUACGAUGUCUGGGCAAACUCAAUCGCCGUGAUCCCACAGCUGCCAUCCGGAUCCGUGUCCAUGUUCACCCACGUUGGCAUUGGGACUGGGGUCGCUAUCCAGAGCCGCGGCGAUCAGCCCGGAGAGUUCAUCCUCGCUGAGCUCCUGCUCAAAAAACAACGAGGCCGCCCCUCAAGCAAAGGCACCCUUUUCAAGUGGUUCUCAUCCGGCCCUGCCGCCGGUCAGUGGAUUCAGACUGAGGUGGUCCUCCCUCUGCCUACUAAGCCUGAAGAGCACGCGUCACGUUCCUCCUGUACCUUCUGCUCCGAUAUUGUCUCUGUGUUCGGAACAGCUGGGCUAUGCUGGGUUGACUUACUUCAGGGGAUAUUGAUAUGCAAUGAUGUGAGCUCUGCCCAUCCCCAGUUCCGUUUCGUUGGAUUGCCCAGAAAGCCUACCAUCAAACCUGGCAUUGAGGGCCGGGGGAUGCCGGCAGCACAUAGCUCCAUUUGCUAUGUCGAAGACACCCUCAGAUUCAUCACCAUUGACAACUAUGGCCACAGGGACCCCUUCUGUGCGACCCUCUCCAUCUGGGCCCUCCAGGACAUCCAGAUACCGGAGUGGGUGUUGUUUUACUCAUUUUCCUUUGGAAAUAUCCAGCUUGACCCAUUCUACAGAAGGAUGAUGCCCACUUUCCCUGUCCUUAGCAUGGCAAACGAACAUGUUAUCUAUGUUACUGUUGCUGCUGAUCUUACAUCGGUUCCAGGGAAGCUGGAAGAGUGUGUGCGGCAUGUGCUCUGCAUUGACAUGAUGCAUGGCUGUGUCGUGAGUGUUUCCAACCUCCCUCCAGGAAGUGGGCUUACUCCUCCCAACUUCCUAGCAUGUAUCUUCGGCAGCUGCCUUCACAAGGUAACUCUUAUUGACAUCUUAUCUUUUUUAUUGCGAAUGGAUAGUAACUAAUUGGUCACUACGAUUGUUCGCAUCUGAUUUAUUAGUGUCUCACUGACAUCUCAUCUUUUUACAUGUAGAGUCCUUGCAAUGAAAACCAAGAGUGUGAAGAAAAAAUAAGCAUGACGGAAGUUGAUGCUGUGCGCCUCAAACAACGUUCUUUCAGAUCAUUUGAGCCUCUGCAUGGGCAAUCUGCCACAGGUAGCAGGAACUUGAGAGGUUUGGCUUCCUUAGUGGAUGACUGUGCCUUCAGCGAGUGAGGAAGGAAAUCUUCUCCGUAAUUGCUACUAUCUGUUUGCAAACUUGCAAUACAGAAACUUUAGUACAAAUACUGUUGACUUGACCUCAAGAUGCACUUCUUUUUUGUCUGGUUUCUUUCUGGUGUUCCAGAUUCUGGUGUUUCCACUUAUGCCUGAAGUUUUAAGUUCUUUCUCAUCAGUUCCGUGGUCAGCAUCCUGAUCACAUAUGCAUCGAGAUAAUUUCCAGAAUGGCAUGUUGUUUGUAGCUCUUUGAUCAGUAUGCUGAGCACCUAGGUUCAUCGACACCCGUUCCCAUGUUUUCUGUUAAAAAUAGCAAACCAUUGGCAUCCAUUGUUGUCUUAUACAGCACAGUUUCUGAAUGGACACAAUGGCCACAUGCCAUUUCUGGAAACCAACAGAAAUGGUCAGGCAGAAUACAUUAGGUAGAAGACAACCUGAUGCUGUUGCUAAAUAUUAUAUCAGAGAAUUGUCACUUUUGUUCAUUCACGUAAAAUUAGAGAGUGAUGGAUCAAGGCAUAUAUAUAAUCAUGCCCUUACAUUAGCGCUAUAUACAACAAAUAAUUUACAUUUUUUGUCUGAACCUCAAGCAUCAUACCCUCCUAGCAGGAUCAAAAGGGGAAAGAAAAGCUGCCUGAUCAUGCUUACAACUGCUUUGCAUCCAGUUUCGUCAAAAGGGUGUUAAAUUGCUAUGUCAACGAGCAUGUUUCGUCUUGCUCGGUUGCUCUUACUUCCUAGUCAUCUGCAGAAAACAAUCUCCGAGCGACAUGCGGUCUCUUCCUCUUCUUCAGAGUGUCAUCUCCAGAGCAGCGAUCAGCCAAGUUCUCCUUCAUUGCUUCUUCUUUUGCAAACUCGUCUUCUUUCAGGUGCUCAGAAUCAGAACCCAGCUUAGAACGACCAGGAUAAGAUUGUGUGUUCUUUUAUUCGCCUCCACAAUAGCUACUUCUGUGAGGCAUUAGUUCCUCCUCUGGCUUCACCAUGUGUCAGUUGUCAAGAUUUGCGGAUCAAGACUUAGACUAGUAAAUUUCUUUUAUGCGCAUAAAGCUUUGAAUGGUGGCGUGGGAGACACGGGGUUAGACUGGUUCGGGCAAAGGAGGCCCUACGUCCAGUAUCGAGGCUGCUCGUGUUACCCACGCGGGGUUCUGUAGUAGGGGUUACAGAUGGGCAAGAGAGGGAACUGAUCCCAGGUCUCUUGUGUGUGCUAGUGCUCUAAGGGACUGUGAGAAUGUGCUGUUGGCUUGAGGAAAAGAGUCUCUUCCGUCCCGUGACCCCCGGUCCUCCUUUUAUAGCACAAGAAGGAGCCUGGGGUUACAGUUGAGACCGGCCUUAGGAGAGGAAACAGAAAGGAUAAGCCAGAAAGAAAAAUAGUACAAGGGAGGGCCCCGAGGCCGCCGCUCCCGCUUCGGCCCCCGGUCUCUGCCAGCGCGCCCGACGAGGGAAGGCGAUCUCCUCUUGAUCUUGUCGAUGAUCUCCCUGGUCGCCGUCGCCGUCGAGAGUGAUGAUGAGCCUCAACCUCGGCAUCCGUGCCCGCCGGGGAGGAGGUCUGACUCUGUUGCCCCGCCGGUUACCGUAAGACCCGAACGUCGCGUCCCUGACGCUACCAUUAGGAGCACAGGGCGCGAGGGCAAGCGAUGCGCCCUCCGGUGUCGUUCGGCGUGGCUCAUGAGUACCCUGUGGCGAAUCAGAAGGAGCCGCGGCCACUGCAACCCGCGCCGCACGGCCGUGCUCCGGUAUUCGUGACCGGUUACGUUGGGGACGCCGCUCCCUUGUGGCUUGACAGGGCCGCGGCGCAUUUAUGGCGAGGUUGAUAGGGGGACCCACGAGAUCGUUAUCCUUAUCCUCCGGUCCGCGCCCGAGGGGAAUAUCCGUCUCGUGGACCCGAGUGAGUCCAACCCCCGCGUCCAGGGUCGGACGAGGCGGAGUUUCUGUGAUGGGGGUCGGGAGCUCCCGACCCCGGUUCCCCGGGUCGGACGAGGCAGAGCCUUGCGGCGAGGGGCCGGGCGCUCCCGACCCUGGGUCCGCGGUCGGACGAGACGGAACCUUGCGGCGAGGGGUCGGGCGCUCCCGACCCUGGGACCGCGGUCGGGCGAGGCGGAGCCCCAUCAUCGAGGGGUCGGGAUUGUCCGACCCCGGGGCCCUGGGUCAGGUGAGACGGAGUGGGAUGUUCUCUGCUUCCACUGGGCCGGAUGUGAUCAUAAUUACCGCGGGUGGGCCUGGGCCUUCGUGACUGUCGCUUUUAGUGGUUUUGGGAGGUCGUUAAUAUUUCCCCCAACACAUGUGUUUCUUUAUCUGUGAGUGUGUAGAACAUGGCAAUACAUCAACAGCAUUCGAUGGAAUAAAAAAUACAGGAAGCCGAAUUAAAUGGAUGGGAGAUAACGGAUGACUAGUAUUACACAAACAUUUCAGUGAGAGCUGUUGAUAUAAUCCUUUUCUAACCAUGCAAAUCCUCGCUCAGUUUAGAACCAAACAAGGUAUAACACAAGCAGUCAUUUGGAAGCAUUUCGUUCGAGCAUUACAGUACACGGCAUCCACAUCAAUUUCGUGAUCUUGCUUCGCCAGCUGGCCACCUUCCGCUGGCUCUGUUGCAUUUCCCCCCGAGCAAUUUGAAAUGUCAUGUUGGAUCUAGUUCAGAGGAUUACACUUCCUCUGGCCGUCCGAUCAUUAAUCCAACAAAAAGAGAUAUAUCUUGCAGUUAGAUAUACGGUUUAGGAUCAUUUUAGAGUACCGUAGUAAAAUUUAAAAAAAGAAGAACAUAGAGCUUUUUUAAAUAAAAGAAAAGAAAAGAAAUGUAAAAGCUUUACCCGGAGAAAAAUCUGUGUGAGCUGCUGCAGUUCCAGUUCCAGUUGCAAUUACCAAGCAGCUCACCGAGCCAGAUCCAGCUAACUUGUGUGUGAUUGUGUCCCGAUCGGCCGGUUUAAAUGCUAGCAGUCUAGCAAUUACUUGUGUGAUUUGUGAUUGUGACUUGUGAGGGUAGGUAGAUUAGUUCAAUCCAGGUUUAAGCGCUAGCAGUCUAGCACAUCACGAAAAGGGGUAGUAAAUGGAAUGAGAGUUGCACAUCGCAACAUGGCGGUGCCCGUAUUCAGUUCUUUAGUACAAACUGAAAAUGGAUUAAUCGGAACGGAACUGUUUUCGUCUUCGUCCUGCCUCCACCCCCAGGAAUAUAUCCUAUGCAAAAUGCUAUGCAAAAUGCUUCAAGCGAGCCGUUGUACACUUGGGUCAUGUUUAGUUCCCUCCAAACUCCCAACUUUAACACUAUGUAAAAAGAAGAUUCCCCAUCACAUCAAACUUGCGGUACAUGAAUGGAGUACUAAAUGUAGACGAAAUAAAAAACUAAUUGCAUAGUUUUGUUGUACUUUGCAGGAUGAAUCUUUUGAGCCUAAUUAGUUAAUAUUUGGACAAUAACUUACAAAUACAAACGAAACGCUACAGUUGCGCAUUUAUGGUAAAAUGCCAAUUUUACCGCUCCCAAAUUGAGAACUAAACAAGACCUUGUACUCGAUCGGCGGGCCUUUACGUUGUACACUUGUGCCUCAACAUGCUCUCGUCUCGCACCCCAUGCUCUCCCUCCCUGCUCCAUGUGGGCCCUCGGGGGAAAUAGAUGGACAGCUGAGUGCCUGAGUGGACGUGUGCUUCUCGUUACCUCUAUGUCACAUAAGAUGCACACAUUUUAGCACACUAAAAUUACUUAAAAUUAUUCCAUAACGGUGAUGCACAUAUAUGAAAGAUCACGUUAGACUACCUGAAAAAAAAACACGUUAGACUGAUGCACAACAAAAAAUCUUGAAAUUAUUCCAUGAAUGAGAAUGCAUAUAUAUAAUAUUUUUUUCAUGAUACAAUUUCUUUUGUGUACUCUAGGAAAUAUAAAAAAUGUUGUUUUCACACAAAAUUUGUUAAAAAAUGAUCCUUGAAAAUGCUUCCAUAAAUGUUACAACAAAUGUCUAAUAAACGGAUGAAGCAAGUAUCCAACCACGUACUUUUCGAAAACAACAGAACUCAAAUGUGGUUGAUGCACGAAGAUGCACGCCUUCUUAUGCACCUAACAUCACAAAAUUAAAAAUAUGUCGUGCAUCUUAUAUUGAAGAAAAUGAACAUUGCAAAAAUUUUAAAAAGUUCAUUGUCAUUCAAGUUUUCAUUUUUGCAAUAGCACGUGAACAUAAGUACGUGCAUCUUAUCAUAAAAUUUAAUAGAUUAGUAAAUAAUUUUUUUAUGAUACACAUACUUUUGUAUGGACCAGUGUUCUCCAAAAUCAAAUAUGUGAAAAUGUAUAUAGUAUAGAACAAAUAUGACGUUGCACGUAUUUUUGUGCAAGCAAAAUAUUCACAGAAAUUUCACGAUGCACCUGUUUUGCCAGUAGUACUCUUGUUCCUGCUUAAAAAAAAUUACUCCUGCUGUUCCAGCCUUCCAAGCGGCUUGGGUCCGCCCACCGCAUGCAUGUGCACGGGUCCCAAAAAGCACCGGGCGAAUUGACAUACUCACUCUAUUUCUCUCCGCAACGUGUCACUAAUCCACGGACCUAAUGCCGCACAUCUGGGCGGCUCUGAAGAUAGGACCCGGGGGACCAUUGAGCGGCUGGACCGACUGCGCAAGGGGCUCUUCUGGAAGGGCAAGACCAAAUGCAGUGGCGGGGACUGUCAGGCUUGCCGUUCCUGCGACGAUGGCGGUAUCGGGGUGAAGGACCUCGCCACCCUCAAAGAGCUUCCUCCUGAAGCACGUCCACAAGUUGUUCACCGACGACAGGAAUCCGUGGGCGGACUGGAUCCGCCUAUGGUAUGAUGGGGGCUACGCCGACGAAGACACUCCCUGCUGGACCGCCUUCAAGCGUCUCAUCCCCGAGUAUCGCACGCUCACCACGGUCGCCAUCGGCGACGGGCUGACCACCUCCUUCUGGCAUGAUUCCUGGGCGGAGGUUGGGCGGCGUGCUAUCAGCGUCUCGGUUCCCUUGCUAUCAUCACAUCAUAACAUGUCCUGUUGGGGCCAUGAACCUGUUGUUAAGUGUUAAUUUGCUACUUGGGAGCUCGUAUCAGAUGGUUUGUCUGUCACGAGUAUUUUGGAAUUGUAACGUAGUAACAUCAAUGUCGCAAUGCGCUUAUUAAUAUGUGCCUCAUUUUUUUUAACUUGGUGUGUGCAACACUUGUUAGUAAACUAGGUAGAUUUAUAUUUUUUAUGAGAGCAUUGUACUUGUAAUUAACAGGUUGUCUUUACUCUUUAGGUUCUGAAAGAUUAUCUUGCGAUGUGUCCUUUCCUUUAGUAUGCUGAUGAUCGUAGGAGAUGUGCUCCUGUGAGCGGCAAGAGCUUGUAGAACUAGAACCGGGAGAGGAGAUGGAACAACUCCGCUGCUGGCAGUUCAGUUUUGUGCUUAGGUUUGCGCUUUCCACGGCCCAGUAACUGGCAACUGAGUUUCAUGGGCCGAAACACUCGGCCUUUUGGAUUCAAUAUGCAAGUCGAGAUGGCCUUUAGGCCUUUUGGGUCUUGGUCAGCUUUCUUUCUGGCCCAACGAGGAGUAACCGUUGCCGGACUCUGUGCAAUGGUAGUCCAUGGCUCGGUCGACCCUUCUUCCCCCAGUGGCCCAGUCCAGGGGCUGAGAGCUCUCCUCUCCGCCGCCGUCCCCUCCCCCGUCUCUCUCCGUCUGUGUGUCUCGCCACCGGCCUCGGCCUGUCACCCGUCAGGCGGUCCACCACCCUCCAGUCCAAGGGCUCACGCACAGUACCGGCCGGGCCGGCGCCACUGUUCCACCACGGCAAGAAUCCCCUCGCUCGUCGGUUGCAGGUUGGUUAGGUCGGCGAGCUUUUCCCCCACCACCCCACCCCACCUAUCGAUCGGACGCGUCCCGCGGAUGCUACAGCGUACACUUGUAAAGCCGGCCACACGCACACUACAGCGUCGCUCCUUCUCCAUCGUACAAAGUGACCCAUCCCUCCCUAGCCGCACAGUGCCGGUGCUGCACUCGAAGCUACCCAACUCUCUCUCUUCUCCCCCUUGUUCGCCGCGCUUUUAACCUUGUGACCCGAACCCCCCAAAGUCUCCGAACUGUUCAUUGUUCCAAGCUUCGCUUCAAAGCUCCGUCCGGCCAUGCAUGGAGCACCUCAGCUGCUUGGGAUUCCGCCGAGCACAACGAGAGAAGAUGACCAGUCCGUGUGCGUCGAGGCUUAUAGCUACCAACAAAGAGACUAGUGCGGAAUUCGCUUGUAAAGCUGUUCAAUUAUGUACUGUAAGUGGUAGCGCUGCUCAUCAGCCUAAAAAUACACACUGCUGUUUACCGGACUUAACCGGUAGCUUCGUUACGUACCUUUUCUUCAGAACAAGAAGCGACAUUUCCGAGGCAUCACCUUGAUCUGGUCAAAGUAUAAGCGACCUGUUUAACCGGUUAACCGACAUCACCUUGCAAUCUUUUGUUAACUUGUUAAACAGUUCUAUGAUUGGAUUUACCUGCCUUAUCCUACGACGACGCACACAUGCAUAUGAUGUAACUUCCUAUGGCGAGGCACCAAUUUAUUCCUAGCACUAGCAGUAACUUUUCGGCUAGCACGUAGCAGGUGACCUUUACUUGGCUUUAACCCACGCCGUCCGCUCAUCCUUUUCCCGUACCCGGGAACGAAGUUGACGUCUACGGCGGCGAAUUUUUCUCGCAAUCUCUCUCCUCGUCUCGGCGGUGAUCUGAAUCUGACGACCCGCGCGGCGCACGGACAGACGGACUCGGCAGCGAAAGUCAAGGCCGGCCAUCGAUCAGAAUCUACCGUGCUCCUCCUAGUCCUAGCGGCCGCCCUAAAAACGCCGCGCAUUCACGCCGCCGUGCCGGGGACGAACAAGGCCAAGCCUACCUGCUGCCACUGCCGCUAAACCUUUGCUGAUGAACCGAUCGGGCAAGGCAGCAGCGUAUAACUGCUCAAGUAGAGCGUAGCAUCAUCCUUCAAGUGUUUGCCUUGUGAUCGAUCGAUACUCUACGUGCAAUUCAAGCACCACAUCUGCAAAAGUGUGAUUGGAAGGCAGAGACGUUUGUUAUCUGAGUAAAGAUGACAGGAAUCAAGAAUGUGUUGGGAUUAACUAACGGCACGGUGCACAGUAUGCAGAGAUAAUGGUCAGUUCAUGAGCCCGACAGAAGAACCGGAAAGUAAGCGCCGGGAUAGGUUAGAAAUAGCAGCAAUGAUUGACCCCAGGAAGGAGAAUAUCUCUACGAGAGGCAGAGGCAACAACAAUGAGCCCCUUGAUUUUUCUAUACGUUCAGAUCCACCAAACUUAUGCUGUAAGUUCAGAUCCAACAACUAAUCAACUAUACAAAACAAUCACCCUUCCUAAAGCAACACGGCCGCUGGAGAUACACAAGCAGGUUCAUCCGACGUGGCAACCAGCGUGGCUCUCCCUCCAGUCACUGACAAGGCCCACACGUCGGCCGCCACGUAGGAAGGGUCCACGCCGUGUCGCCAUUGCCGCGUCGCUGCACCGAAAAACUCACCUGAAAAAGAAAAUGAAUUCGGAGACACUUCUUGGAUGGACGCCGAUGGAUUCCCCUUUCCUGCUCAAAUGAUUGAGCCCUGACGAAGAAGACGGGAAGUUUUAAAAACCCUAGGGCCAGCCAGCCCUUUUUCUCCAUAGCUCCACGAAUAAACAAGUACAUCCUGCUUGUACUAAACUAACCCUUAAUAGAUGUUGUAGCAGUACUGUCGCCACCACCUAAUCUACUCUUUUAUUGCUCUAUAUUCCUAGAAGAUCUGUCCAUUCGUACGCCUCGGUGGUUAAUUCUGUCCCCGGAGACGCGAUUAUGAGAGAGAGAGAUCAUCAUCAAGUCCGUUGAGCGAGAGAGAGAGUUAUGGUCAAGAACCGUGUGUGCUUUGCAGGCUUCACUUCACCUACUCGUCGUCCAGCUUUGUCGACGGGUAGUUGCUGAGAAGGCAGGCAGCAGCAACGAGCAAUGCGAGACAGUCUUUUGUUGGUUCUGGCACUGGCAGUAUAGUAGCUGGUGGUAGAAAUUUUGCCACACGGUUGUGCACAAACACGGACCGGCUAUAAUGCUAUCCAUGAAUCUGCCGGUGACAUUGAGUUAUUCCUAUUACAUUGAAUUAUUCAUAUUAUAAAAUGUUCCAAGUUCAGGCUAAGGUUAUUUGUAUGAUCUUGCAGAAACGGUAGAAUUGAGUUUGGAGUUUUUUCUUCAAAAUCCGCCAAAUUCUAUGUAUAGCUCGACGCCGACCAUUCCCUUAACUUUCUUUUCUUUGAUGAUGGUCAUGAACUAACUUUUUUUUCGGAUUUCUGGCGGAAUACUGCAGAUGAGAAUACGGCUAGAGUUGGAGAGAGUUGUUUAACGACGUGAUGCAUGUGAGCGUCGCGGCGAUCCCGAGGCGAGUAGAAUAAAAUGGGGUCGGCCGAGGAGAUUGUUCAGAGAUACAGCCAGGGAUUAGCUAGAAUAAUGCGAGCUCUGAUUGGAGAAAACCGUUGAUUGGCUUGGCAGCCAGAUUAUUCUACUUGUCAGUCCAUAUGUUUAUUCUUCCGGCUCUCUCUUCAUUUCAUUGCGCCCGUUGACGAAGAAGAGAAUGUGUAUGCGAUGCCUCGAGGGACAAAUAUUCAAAUGCACGCCACUUGUGAGCUGUCAAAUUCUUGCUAGUUUCGCGUAUGUAACGCCUACAGCUAAACUUGGUUUGAACGCGCAGUUCUGGCAAUUUUUAAAACAUCCUGAAUCUCACUUCAAAUCCACAACACAUUGCAGGCCUCUGGAAUUACAACUCACAGGAUAGGAGUACCUUUGAAGCCGAAGGAAUGCUCACCGUUUUGAGCGAUGAAGUACAUUCAUGGCAAGUUGGUAGUGCAGCAUCCUGUCUCUGCAGAUUUGGCUAGCUUGCAUUGAAGCCCCAUGCCAUGGAUGAACUCAUGAAUUCAGCUUGUGAGCUCAAGGAAGUGGUUGCAGCAGUGACAUCGAUCAAGCAAGCAUGGGGCCCCGGCUUUGGCCUCUCUGUUCCCGUUGUGGAAGUGAUCUCGGCAGGUCUCUGAAUCUGAACACCAUGCAAGCACGGGAACGUCGAUCUCUUCAGCAGGAAGGAGCCAGCCGGAAAUGGCGAUGAAGUGUUAGGCAGCUCGGAUUAUCCCACGAGGAUAAUCUCUCUGGAGGAUGUGGGCCCACGCACGCAGCUGGCUCUGCAGAAGUAAUCGCCAUUGCCGUUUUUGGGUAAGCAAUUAGGCAGUAGGCAUCCAGAGCUCAUCCAAUUUCUCGACUGAACAAGCCUUAUCCUUGAGAGCAGGGACUAUGGCCUAGUGCCCCCGAUUAGCGUGCAUCAAUGCCUGUUGCCUAUUGCCUACCGGUAUGCAUCCACAUAGUCUUGCAUAUGACUGCAACUUUCAUUAGAAAAUUUGGAGCAGUGCAUCAUAAAGCAAAAGAAGAAGAAGUUUGGUUUAUGCUAUGGAUUUAGGCACAAGAGUUUCCAAUGGGCACCCUACUUUUGAAUGUGCAUAAGAGGUAUAUGAGGGCAUAAGGCAUUUGUUAAAGAGCUCAAAUUACUCAAAAUAGGGGGGCAUCCUUUUCACCUACAACACAAAGCCACAUGUGAAGGGGCUUGACCUAAGUAGGAUAAGGUGUCAAAUCUGCUUAGGCUGACUAGCAAAGUACUCAUAAAACCCACAAGAACUCGACAAAUGGGCUCCAUGUAUCAAUCAAAAUUGACAUGUGGUGAAUAGUCUUGUCAGACACACAAAACCAUCUCUCUCUUUUUUUUCACUUCCUCUCUUUGUCACAAUUAUUAUCAUCUCAUCAUCGAUCGGCAUCCUACCAAGCACCCGUGGCUAUCCUCGCCGCAAAUGAAAAAGUUUCUAAUAUCAUUAGUGUCGAUGAAAAGGUCUCACUUCAAAGGUAUCAAACAGUAUCAACUGUUGCAAGAUAUAGCGGCUCCAAAAAAGCCACGGAUUCUUAGCUAAUGGAUUUUGCAAUAACGAAUAUAGCUGGUAAUUGCUUAGUCCUGAAAAUUCACGGUGACACUGCCAAUCAUGUUAUAUCUAUGGAAGAUUUGCACUGAAUUUUGUUGUGCCCAUAAAUCAAAAAGUUUGUGCGUUAAGCAAUGAAUUCUAACAUUUUCUGGUGUCCAAGUGACAAAUUACAUGAGUCAAAUUCUCCUAAAGUUCAGGAAACCAAACUCCGGAUUGUCCAUAUAAAAAAAAUUCGAGAAAAGAAAAUCAAAAUCUACCACACGGUAAGAUUGAGGUUGAUAGCCACCGGGGUCGAGGUGUUUUUUACUUCCUAGUACCUGUUACGGCGCCGGCGGGAGAGAGGCUGAAAAGGGAGCAGAGCAAUGGCGCAGCCUGAAAAGGCAUCCUCCUUCCCACCCCAAACCGAAAAGCUUCCGCUUCCAGCUCCAGCUGCAGCGGGGCAUCACCAGUUCACCACCACGCUUUGACCUCCAUCCAGCCCAUUGCCCAAUCCCCCAAGCAUCCAUCCCCCACCUCCCCUCCCCUAUAAAAUCUCCUCCUCUGCCUCCGAUUCGCCACCUAAAGGAGGCGCCUUUCCCCAAAUCCACCGCCGAGAAAGGGAGGACCCGCUCCUCGGACGGUGUUCCCGUUCCGGCCAGUCUACUCUACUCUAGUCUGCUCUUUCUUGCGGCCGCGAUGGAGGGCAGGGCCGGCGGUGGUAGGGACUACAUUGCCAGCCUGCUGAGCUCGGCGCCGAGGCUCGACUUCGGCGCGCUCGGAGCCGUGCCGGCGAUGCUCGACAGCGCCGCGGCGGGGGCCGACGGCGGGGAGGACUGUCUCGAGAGGUUCUGCGGCGACCCGGGGUUCGCGGAGCGCGCGGCGCGGCUGUCCAGCUUCAGCGGGCAGCGCUUCGCCGGCGCCGCCGCGGCCGCCGCGGGGCUCUUCGGGCUGCCGCCGCCGGCGCCCGCCGCGAGCAACGGCGAGUUCGCCGGCUCCCGGGAGGCGUCGUCGGUGUCUGACCCGGCGUCAGCCAUGAGGGACGCCAAUGCCAAGAAGAGGAAGGCGCCCGCGGCGGCCAAAGGCAAGGGCAAGGAGGCCUCUGCCCAGGUGAGCUUCGCUCUGCUUGAAUUGUGCCCGGCUCUCGCUCCUGUCCCGCGUUCCGCGCCACUGACGCUGGAAUUCGCGUCGAAAUUCUUUGUGUUCAGGCUGGGGAGCAGAAGGAUCCGGAUGCCAAGAGGUGCAAGACGGAGGGCGCCGAGGGGAAGGAUGAGAGCCCCGUGAAGCCCAAGCCGGAGCAGGCCGGGAGCGACAGCUCCGUUGAGGACGGCGGCGGGCAGAAGCCGGGGAAGGGGAAGAAUGCCAAGCCGGUGGAGCCCCCCAAGGACUACGUCCAUGUCCGGGCCAGGAGAGGGCAGGCCACUGACAGCCACAGCCUCGCAGAGAGGGUACAAUUCCCAUCAUUUCACUGCCAUGCUCCCUUCCAGCUUGUCGAAUUCGAUCACUGCGUGUUGACUCGUCUUGUGUGUUUAAUCAGGUGAGAAGAGAGAGGAUCAGCCAGAGGAUGAAGGUUCUCCAGGACCUGGUGCCAGGAUGCAACAAGGUAUUAAUUGGUGGUUUCAGAAUAAGUCUCUGGGAAAAACAAGUACAGCAGUUGACAGCCCUUUGCCGCAAGUUUACUGAAAUCUUUUGUUAAAAUGUUGUUUGUUUAGGUGAUUGGCAAGGCACUCAUGCUUGAUGAAAUCAUAAACUACGUGCAAUCGCUGCAACGGCAAGUCGAGGUAAGCUGCAGGCAUACUCCAAAUAGCUGGAUCAUCUGAUGCCAUGGGAUGCAGCUUUCAUAAUUCUGAUCAAUUUUGCCGUUCUGUGGUUUCAGUUCCUCUCGAUGAAGCUCGCAACUGUGAAUCCACUUGACUUCAGUAACCUGCCUACCCUCCUGCAAAAAGAUGUAAGUUUAAAACUUUCCCCUUCUGAACAUGUGCUGUGAUGGUCCACCAAACAAUUAGCUACUUACGUUAUUACGUAUGCUUCUGUGAAAAAUUCAGAUCUUCCAAGCCUGUGGCCCUUCAGCGAGUUCAGUCUUCUCCCUGGAAAGCUCCAGCUCAGGUUUUCCAUUCAGCGAUCAAGGAGACGUCUUCCAGUCGUUUGUUCCGAACGGGUUGGAGAACCAGUGCGGCCUGAACCCGCUGGACCUGGCUCUGUCUCAGGCGACCAACGCGCAGUACGCGUUUCAGGAUGGAACUGCCAGCACAAACUUGCAGGUGAGACUGAUCCUGAAGCCACUGAACUGAAUUGAACAAUCGUUCCGAGCAUUAUCCUAACAUAGUUGGUUUGCAUCCUUUUUCCAGCAAAGGAACUUCUGGGAGGAGGAUCUGCAGAGCGUUUUCCACAUCGACAACGGGCAGAGCCAGGAGAAUGGCGUCUCAGCGCAGAGCUUUCACGGUGAGUAAAAAAUCCCACAAAUGUUUCACUGUAUCUUGCUCCCUUCGGUUAGACAUUUUCACUGAUGCGCCCGAAUUACCAUCCUUAAACAGGUCAAUUACAAGCGGGGCACAUGAAGAUGGAGUUCUAAUCAGGGUAGAGACGCCCACCGACCAGCCGCCGAGGGAAUGAUUUGUACAUAGCAGAAAAACCUAAGUACAACAUCAGUGGCAGCAGCGGCGACGAGUGAAGCUCUGAAUCUAACAGUCUGUGUAGUGUGUAGGCCCUUGGAGACGAAUCCCUUUGCCAUCAUCCUUCCUGGCGCUGUAAUUCUUUUUCAUAUUUUCCCCGCGAUUAGUAUUCUCAAGAUAGCAGUAACAGCCAUCAUCUGAUAGUUUAAUUAAUUUGUGUAUAAGAAGAAUACUCCUAUGGUGCAGAACAUCAUUACAUUACUGGCACCAGGUUCCUAAUCUCUGUACUAUGAGCUGGCCGGGUAGCUGGGAUGGAAGCACGAAGGAACCACUGCGUCCUGUCACAAAUGCUGCCGAUGUCCCAUCGUUUUCCCAUCAGUUUUAGGCUGCAUUAUUGCUUCUUCUCCCAGGAUCCCAUCCAACUCCAAUCCAAGCAAGCUGUGUUGCGUUGCUGCCAAUCCAUUAAGCGUAGAACGACGAUGUCGUAACCGACUGGGAAUUUUUUUUUCCUUCAGGUUCAGAGCUCGUCGUCGACUUGGCUCCCACUGGCGUUGUGUUGUAGUAGUACGUGACUGGAGGCCGCUGUCUGUGCGCUGUUGGCGCGUGUGCGCCUGUCACCGUCGGCGAUCGGCCGUCGUCCUCGUCGUCGACGCUCUACCGGUGCAUGGCAUGACGUGGGGGUAGGUUACGCGUCGCUUUUCCUACGAGGAGCCCUCGCACUCGGUCCAGGCUCGCCCCUCGCUGGAUCUCAACUCUCGGAGCCUAACCGCACUGCUCUGCUGCGUACGGAUGCCCCCGUCCCUGGCAUCGCUGAACAGUUUAGUUGCUCAAUCGGUGCUACAUGUUGGACAAGUGGAUGGAUUCAAGUGAGGAAAUCCACCAUUUGUGGCAUUGAAUAAACCCGUGUUUUGCAAUAUCCUCUGGCUCAAAAUACAUGUCGAUUUAGUAUUUGUGAUAUUUUUUUUAUAACUUUGACCAUUGAUAUAAUCAUUUUAUAAAGGUUAACUAUAGAAAAGAUGUAACUAGAUUUAUCGUGAAAAAUAAUUUUGAAAUAUUUAAUUAUCAUUAUUGAAAAUUUUAUAUUUUUAUAGAAACUGCAAGGAAAACGUCGCUUAGUAGACAUUGUUGAUGCCGCAAAUAACAUAUAUUUUUAAUUAGAGAGUGCAGUAAAAAAAAGUCUAUGGUUCGCAUUUUCACCCAAUUUACAUUCAGUAAUGUCUGCAUUUCUCUUCUCCGAGCACUCGAACAGCGAUUACAAACCCUUGUAAAGCAUGUCUACAUGUACUUUGCAGGCUCACGUGUUAUCCAGUCUGUGAACGAUAUUCAUCCAACUGGACCAACUCAUAAUCCUUUCACCUACCCAUGAUUUAUCCUACCGUUGAUCUUAACGUGAAUGGCCCUGAUAUGCCCACGUAUGCAAGUGCAAGCUCCAAAUGGUGAUCCACCCUAGAACAGUACAGUACAUUGUCAGGCCCGGUCUUUGUUGCCUUCCUCCCUCCCUCCGGUUCAUGGACGUGCCUACAGGGACCGUCCCUAAAAGUAGGCGUGCUCCCCUUCUAAUUCCGCGGUUAGGUUCGCCGUCGCUCUCGCCGGCCGCUUCCUACUCCCCCGCCGGGAAAACGCCAUUUAGCCGCACGCCGCGUGCCGCGCGCGCGCGCGCCCGCUGCUUGUCCUCUCUGAUCACGUCCCAGAAACAACAGACACACAGGCUGUGAAAACCCAGUCGCCCUGAUCAUCCUCCGGCAUGUCUCUUAUGGCCGUAGCCACGGACCUUGCAGCGAAAGGCUCCGUCCCUUCACAGUCACAGCAGUUCAGCAGCAGCAGCUACACCAUGAUGGCUCCACGACGACUCUGCGGCCGGCCGGCGUCGCGAGGUCGACGAAGUGUUAUUGUGAUUUGGUCGUCAAGGACCGUAACAGCACUACAGCAGGAAGGCAGGCCGGAGGUGCCUCGCCGCUGCAGGGAAGUAAGGAGCUACGGCGGCCGUGGCGCCGUCGAUCGCGGUCGCUGUCCGGCUCGGGCGGCGACACACCGAAGGUUAGACGUCGCUGUGCGGCGCCGAACCUAUUGUCACGCAGCGAAAGCGUCCCGGCCCGGGGCGCGGCGGGGCGUGUUCAAUGCCGUGCUCGCCCAUUUCUUCUCCCUCUCCCAACCCAACCACUGUUGCAUUGCAAUUUGCAUGAACAGCAGCGCAAUAACUCGCGUGCUCGGGAUGCAGAGAACCGUGCAAGGUGUCGUGCCAUGUUUCUUACUUCGAAUCGAGCUCAGGUCGACAUGCUUGUUUAGAACGUGUAAAAUCAAGAGAAAAAUGUUUGGAACAUGUAAACUCGAAGAAAAAUGCUUGGAACAUGAGCAAACUGUUGGAGAAUCCCUGUGGUGGUUCAAUUUUCCCUCUGACGCUCAAGGUAACAGCAGCGUGCCCUGUCAUCAUCCAGCAGUAGAAGAGCAACGACCCCUGCUCUGCUCACUCGUCGUCCCGAGUCCGCCACGCCACCGCUCUUGGCGUCAGCUCCCCGGCCUCACCGUCGCCCUCCGUCAUCCCACCGGUCCGGCCGCGGCCCACGGCUUUCCGGCCUUCCGGGCCCCUACUUUCCCGGCGACCGGGCCACGCGAGGCGUCGGCGGCUGACUCCCGCAAUCGACCGGCGGCGCGGCGCGCGCACCGCCGCUCGUUCGAGCCGGACCGGCACGAUCAUCACGUGCUCCUUUUCCACCCCUCCGAUCCCUCCGCUGCUGCCGCUCUGCUCCCGGCCGCCCGGUCAAGCAGCGUCCCGUUCCGGCCGCGACAUGUCCGGGGAUCGGACGGAACCCGAAUCCCUCUCGGAUCAGUCCCGCCGCGCGCGCCCCGGAGGCAACAACCGCUGGCCCACGGAGCCCCCGUUCCGUCCCAUUCAGGAUCCCGUCACCGCCGUGGACGGGUUGGACCGACGGCGACCGGCCGGGGGUAGAAGACGGGUACACGUACACGGAUGGCGAUCCGAAUACGACGCGUGCAUGCAUGCAUGCAGCCACAUACGAUCGUGGACGACGAGCGAGACCGCACCGUACGGUACUGUGGCGAACGCCGACGUGGUCGAACUUAUAGAUCUGAGGGUAUGGCGCUCGUUGCUCAGUCAUGGCUGCUCCUGGAUCUGAUCGACGAGGUGAUGGAGAGGCGUGAUGACAAUCGGGCACGAAGAUCCGAUUAAAAAUGAUGCGAAUAGAAUCGAACCGACCACUGCUGCGUCGAUCGAUCUCAUCAAUCAUCAUGUCUCGCGGAGAAUUAUAGAUCGAUCCAUUCCAUGACGGGAUCAUCAUAAAUUCAUAAUCAUAAACAAAAACCAAUCUAUAUAUAUAUCCAUCAUCAUAAAAUCGAGCAUUCUUUUUUCUUCUAAAAAGCUUUGGUUCAGCACCAGCUGAGCUACCCUACAGAGCCCACAAAUGUGACCAUCUCCAUCUGGCUGCAGUCUCUGAAGACGCAAGAAGCUGAUCUCAAGUUGAACAGUCCGGCGAUAAAGGAUAUCGGAGUGGAUGGGUAAUCCAUCUGGUCCCGAGUGAUGGAGCAGCUGCAAGAAAUCAGGGGCGGCCCCGGCCGGACUGGAGGAGGCGGCCGCAUCCCCAUCGGGCUCGUGCCUUCCCGGCCAUCCCCUGAUGUGUCGACCCACGCGAAAGCAGGAGGAAAAAAGAGCAUCCGCAGCGAGGAAAAGAGUAGAGGAACAGAGGAGUUGAUGGAUGGAUUGAUCGGAAGGAGCAAUUAUGGACACCUCGCAAUGAUCAACUACAUACACGCAAUUCAGCUGUUAGGUGCGCCGUCGCCGUCGAACCGAUUCGGGACAGCGUGCCGUGCAUCCAAUCUAACCCUCCCAUCUCCUCUGCAAAGUAAGACAAUCCGGUGGAAUCCUGAUUUGCCACAGCUAAUUCGCAUUUGUGAUGGGAUAGGACGUGGGGCUUCUGGUCCUGGUCCUCCGUACUGUGCUUGGGAGUAGCUGAAAUCGUCGCGAACAGUCACUGAUAAGUAGGCCACGAGCCUACUUGUCAGUGACUGUUCGUGACGAUUAUGUAGUGAUGAAGUGGAGGGUGUUGGAAAAGAAAGAAAUAUCAGCAGCAGCUAGCACUACUUGUGGGCUUGUGGCAUGGUCCACAAAAGCAUUGAUGCCCAUGUAAAGAGUUUUUAAGGUGUGGGCAUGCAAGCUACUCUACUCCAGCUUGCAAUCUACUGGAAGCACAAGCGUCAUCAAACCCGGGGCCCUCCCUGUGGGGACGCCGCCAACUAGUUCCUUGCACCGCCAUGGCCCAACGGCAGCAGCAAGCCAGCAACCAGCAACCCCCGGUGGGCCGGCCGGAGCCGGACCAGGUGCGCUGCAAUGGGGGGCGCCAUGGACCAACCUAACCGGCCACGCCGAACGCGUAAUCCAUGGGGGAUUGGCCGGAGGUUCAUGCACGGGUGUCAUGGGAGGGAUGGCUGUUUAUGGAGGACCCUGAUUCCCCGGUCUGCGUUGGUGUCAGGUGGAUCAGGAUCCCAUGGAUUGGGGGAGUUCCGUUACGUCCGGUCCAUGAUCCAUUGAUCCGGUGCUAUACAUGGGGUUCAGCUUUCAGGAGGAGCCAUAGCCUUGAAGCAGCUAGAUCAUUGCCUGAGCCUGCAGGGAGCUGUCAUGCCUGGAGGAAGGGGUCUUUUUGGGUUCAGUUUGGGUGUCCCUAGCUUCCUUCUUCCCCACCCACAGCUAUGUCCUAGUUGCUGUGAUGUGUGACCUCUCUAAGUAUGAACGGAGAUGACCUUCACUGAGCCUGUUCGUUGCUACACACGUAUAAAUGUGACCAAAUGUGGGUUGGUUCUUUCUUGCAUGGCUCACAACAGAAGGAAAUGAAAGGUGGUUGCUCGCUGAUGUUUUCAGAGUGUGCUAAAUGCCUGAAUCUGACAGUUGAAUUAGGAACUCUUUGGCCGUACUUUAUUUUCCACUGUGUCUGAAUGUCUGAACUUUUGCUUUAAUUUGGCUGUCUGAAUGCCAUCUAUUAUCUUAAUAAAAUAGUGUUAAAACUAUUAUCUUAAUACAAUAGUGUUAAAAGAAGUCAUCAUGUUCGUCGAGCUAAAAAGAGAAAAGAAUAUACACCAUUAGAUUUUAUGAAGAUCUAAUGGUUUAGAUUAAUUCUAAAAAGUUGAAAAAGAAAAGAAUAUAUACCAUUAGAUUCUGCGAUGAUCUAAUGGUCUAUAUUAAUUCCAAAAAGUCCAUUUCAAAUACUACUAAAAGAUUUUAUAUAUAGAUUCAGAAUUUAGAAAACAACGAAAUUAGCAUUUGACUUUUAUGUUGAUUACGAUAGAUAAAAGAUAAAUUUGGAAUAGAAAAAAAAAGAGAUACAACUCUAAUAAAGAAGAGUAAGUUGAUUCGAAGGUCAGUUUACAACGUAGGAAGCUAUACUUUCUAUGGUAAUUUGCAUAUAUAGAAAGUUCGGAAUUAAUGUUGGAUGCCUAAAUUUAGCAGUAACAAGUAGCUUGGAAGCAUCAACGCUGUGAUUCUUAUGUAUUCGACGUAAAACCACUCCAAUAUUGAGUUGCCAAGCAAAACCUAGCAUGCCACGGAUUGAAAUUUCUUGCUAUAAAAAAUGGUGGAAAUAUAAAGUUCAGUAAGAUAUACUAUAGAGCUGCAAAGGCAACUCACAGAGAAAGGUGAUGAUGCGCUAAAGGAAAAACCCAAAUUACUACUAUGUACUAUCAUCAAAGUUUGGAUAACCCUCUGAACUAUAGAACCGUUUAUUUAACCACCUGGGUUUCAAAAACCGGCUCAUUUUUCACCUUUGACAUUCAAUUCAAAGUGGUUUUGCCACGUGGAUGGUGGUUUUGAUGUCUGAGAUGGCCACAUCAUCACUUCUCUCAUACCUCUUCUCUCCUAUGGUGUUGCAUUGCCACCUCUCUCUCUCUCUCUCAUGCCAUGGCGGGGCACGGGUUGCGGGUCAUUCUCAUCACGACGGCAGCGCGUGGCUUCGUCAACGCUAGCAUCGCCCUAGGCGCUGGCAGCGGGAGCGCCUUGAGUCUCACGACUACCACGUGGGUGGACCGGGUAACGACUGUGGCGGCAGGAGUGCCUUGAGCGUUGCGGCCGUCACUUGGGGUGGACCGGGUGCCGAGCGCAAGGGCGGAGGUAGAGCACGGCACGACAACGACAUUGUAGCAAUUGGCCUUGCCCACGGCAUAGUCAGAGACCGCGGCCCCGAUGUUGCAACGCGUGGUACGCCAGCACAGCUAGAUGGUGUGCAGCGGUAGGAUAGGCGAUAGCGCAACACGGGGAUGGUGUAGGGUCGCGUGAGAGGAUAACGAGUGGGGGAGGAGCUCACCGGAGGGGGAGAAGAAGAGAGAGGGAGAGAGAAGCCGGGAGAGAUAAGUGAUGACAUGUCCAUUCCGGUCAUUAAAAUCGACAUCCGCAUGGCAAAACAACUUUGAAUUGAAUGCCAAAGAUGAAAAAUGAGCUGGUUUUGGAAAAUAGGGGUUUAAAUAAACGUUUUUAUAGUUAAGGAUUAUCCAAACUUUGCUGAUAGUAUAGGAAUAUGUGUUAACUAUGGCUUAGGUUAAGCAACAUGAUUAGAUGAGUAGCAAGGGUAAAUGGAUAGGUGUGACUGACAAUGCAUAAUCUAUUACUAAUGGUGCAUCGUCGACAAGGUCAUUGGCCGUAGAUUGAUAUUACUUGGAACUUGCAAGAGCCACGAUGAUAGGGUGCCAAUUUGCAGCCACGGCAGCAGACGAGCACAGGGCAUGACUUCUGCCUUUAUAUGAGCAACCCAUGAGCCUGUAUUAGGUUUAUAUUUUAAUAAAUUCAUUAAUAAAAUUAAAAACUAAACGCCAAAUUUAUGGAUCGGUUGUAUGUGUGGAUUAGUUUAUAGAGUCUUUUGAAAUAAAGAGCAUAUAAGGAACUACUUUGAGUACAAUAAUUUGUUGCAAAUAAAUGUGAUAGUAAGUAUAGCACGUUUAUUUCAAAUUAUUAUUAGGGAGAAACAGAAGAAAUAGAAGUUCACAAUAGAAAAAAAUAUAGAAUUGAAUCUAGCCGUGCUAUUUGCAUGGGUCACCUUGUUCAAAAUGUUCUGAGUGUUUAGUGUGCACAGUUUUUUCUUGUAGCAUAGCAUCGCAUGAGAAGUGCACCAAGAUUUUCAUGCUGAAGGACUAACAGCGGGUGGUUGAUAGAGACGACAUGCGUACCUUUUCUAUUUGAAGUGAAAUUAACCAGCCCUAAGCUUUCGGCCUUAAAUUCCCCUCUCAAAUUAAAGGAGACACUGGACCAAGCAAAGGACACUGAACCCAGUGGUCGGCUACCGUUAGACUUGUCUGCUGGAUAGCUGGAGAGGCCCAUGUCGCAGUGGGCGCGCGCACAAUUGGCAGGCUCGUGCCAAUUCUCCCUCCAUGAGACCAUGACAGAUCCCCUCCCGCUUCUCAAGGAAACCCAACAACGGAUUUAACGCAAUGGAGUCCAAUUUUUUUUAAGUUAAAAAAUGCAUUUGCAUUCGGAGAAACUCCAGAGGUGUUUGAUGAUCUCAUGCCGUAAUUCAUACUAUUAGGAAAUCACAUCUUAACUAACGGUUAAAUAAAACACCCCUCAUAAUUUUUACGGGUUGUGUUACCCUUUGAUUUCAGCCGAUUAGUUUAUUUAGACCAGAUUUAACGAGGGGCACAUGUCUCUUUUCCUAUCCUUAUUAAUACUCCCUCCAUUCUUAAAAAAAUCAUUUUAAGAUUAUUCUAAGUUAAACUUUUUUAAGUUUGACCAAGAUUAUAGAAAAAACUAUAUAUAUUUAUGGUAUGAAAUAAGUGCCAUUAGAUUUAUCAUGAGAUAUAUUUUUAUAAUAUACCUAUUUGAUACCAUAAACAUUGAUAUUUUUCUUUAUAAAUUUGGUCAAAGUUGAGAAAGUUUGACCUGAGACAAUCCUAGAAUGACUUGUUUUUUGAAUGCAGGGAGUACGAGCUAAAAGCGUAUAGGAUCCAUCAUAUUAUAUGAUGGAUAGAGUAUGAGUUUGAAGAAAAAAAAUGUUGUGAAAUAAUCACCUAUAUCCCUAUUACUAAUAAAUAGGUAAAUGACACAACUAGUUCCUUUUCUUUCCCAGCAUUUAAUUUGAGGCGUGGCAUGAAAACAUUUACAUAACUACACUCUUGAUAUCCUCCAUGCGCAAGCAUUGUGAUACAUGUUCUUCGAGGUCAUGGUUCAAUGAAAGUUUUGAAACUUUUGUUAUUAGUAACUUUUACAAGAUUUGGUUUAUAAACAUAGAAACCAUUCGUCUAUCUUCACCAUAAAAAAGUAUAGUUUUAUAGUCUCAAAGUUUGAAGGAUUUAUAAAUAUAUUUUAAUAGAAAAAUUGAGCUGAGCUAGAUAGUAGUAUUUUCCAGGCCCAAGCCUUUGCCAUCUUUGGUCAGAUUUGUCCAUGGUUCGGCUCGACGCAACAAAGCUGUGUUUUCAUUUGUCCCUCGAGUCCCAAAACUGGUCGGCAACACAGAAUUCGAUUCAAUUUCCAUCUGCUUCGUUCGUGAAGAAAUCCUGUCGAAUACUUGCGAGGUGCCUGCUGUCUCCUUCCAUUGCUCCGUAUAGCUCUCAGUGACAGAAGACCUACAGGCUACAGUAUGUGACGCUCGUCAGGGCAUUGCUAGGGAUAGGUCAGUACUAGGCUCCAUGGCAUCUCAUCUCGAUCCAGUUCUAGUUCUAGCUCACCUAGCCAACCCAGCGACGGUACAGAGUACAGACAGACACCCCAGCUAGCAACCAUCUACCGGCAUUGCUGGGCCGCCAAAGUCUCUGCUGCCUGCGCCAGCCCACGCCACCUAUGCACGCGCUGAUGCGCAACCGGUCUCGGCCAUGCCGUGCACGCGUGCCCAACGUGUGGUAGCACUUAGCAGAGGCACGAAAUCGUAAUGGCUCGCGGCGAUCCAGUGCGCCUGCCGCGGCAUGCGGUCCAGGCCCUCCAGGGACCGUGGCGUCGAUGCGGCGCAUGUGGCCUCGCUCUCGCUCCCCUCCGCGCGCUAGCCCUGCCUUGCCGUGUCUUCGGCAGGGCGCUCGCGAUCGGUGUGGGCUGGUCUGCGCGUGGGGCGCGUUGCAGCUUUGCAGUUGCAGCGCCGGGUGGUGCGUCCGGGCCACGCAGCCAUGCGUGCUGUGCAGGCCGAGCGAUAAGAGAAUCACUGGCGUGGAUAAAGAGCAACAGUGGAAACGUCCGAUCAAUGGCGAAUUUACGUACAUUUUACUGCUACUAGGGUACAAGGCGAAGAACAUGUACGGGGUGGCGACUUACAUGAGCGGCCGUAGCUGUCAACACGGUCAUAUAUCUCUGUUCAGUUCUUUUGUGUGUUAGCGUGGUUGCCGUUCUACCUUGACGUAGGUUCCGAUGGCGUCGAGGUGGCGGCCGGAGCGCGCGUGGAAGCCGACGAUCCUGCCGCCGGCCGCCGGGAGCGCGAACGGGACGCCGUCCGGGCGUCCGUACGGCCCGUAGGCGCGGCGGUUGCUGACGAACGUGAGCGACCGCACCACGAAGUUGCCCUCGAACUCGCCGCAGUGGCCUUCCACGCUGGUGAGGUGCUCGUCGGGGCGCAGGCAGAUCUGCGGCAUCGCGCUGCUAGUCGUCAGAGUGGGACGAGAAAACGACGGCGGCGUGUCGUGUCACGCGCCACGCACGCGCACGCCACGUAACGGAUCGGGAACGUGACGACGUUACCUCGGCGAGGCCGCCGCCGGGGCCGCCCCAGAGGUCGGUCCACUCCUGGCGGCCGCCGCGGUCGUAGAGCACGGAGACGGCGUCGACGGUGUCCCCGUGGCGGACGACCACCUUGACGACGCGGUCCACGCCGCGGGUGUCCACGUCCCGGGCGCCCCCGCCGCCGCCGCCGCAGGGACCCAUCCGCACCACGGACCCCUGCACGAACGCGUCCCAUCAGGGAAAACGUGGAAAAAGCUAGCCGCGGCGUCAGCAGAUGAUGCACCUGCUGACCUGCACGCCGCCACACCGCUGGCAAAAGGCAAAUGCUGGGCUCCAUCCCUGCAGGUACGUACCAUCGAUCGCUGCACAAGGAGGGCCUGCAGUGCAGGCUUUGGCGACGGGUUCGUUCGUUGCACUGGCGCUGGCUGGCGAUGGGACGGGACGGAUGGCUCGAAUUUGUGGCGCGCCACCAAGUCAACCGCGGGGCGGAUAUGGUUGGCUCGUCGUGGUACGUGGCAACGUGCUCGGCACUACUACCUCGCGCGUUCUACGUGGCGCCGUGUAAUAGCUGUAUGUUUGAAAUUUCGGGGAGACAGAGCAGGUAAUGCCGUCUGCCGGACAGGCUGUGCGCUGGGUUUUACGGGGUACUUGCGUUUCCUGACGAUUCGAGGCAUCCACGUCGUCGAUGCAAACGCAGGUCCUCGCCGGUGUCCGGAGCUCCGGAGACACCAGACGUGCGGCUGCACCCCGGCGGCUGGCUCAGCCUCUGGUGCUGGUGCGGUGCCAGCCCAUGCCCAUCUGGCUCGCCGUCCUCCCUCGCAGCCACUCCUUUGCACGGCCCACCGCUCCGCUACUGCUUGCUGCGCUGCAGCAGCAGGUUUUCUACUCACAGAAUCGGGCCGCGGCACGCAUACCUGCUGCACGGGGCAUGGGGGAUGGGCACGCACAGUGCACGCGCAAUUUUACUGCCCAGUGCCGCGGCGCAGGCUCGACUUCCGUCACCCGGCCGAUUCGGCCCAAAUACUCUCCCGCAAUCCCAAUUCGUUACACGUCAGUUGUGCUCACUUCAGUUACCAGGCCACAGAUGCUCUUGGAUCUGUGUCAUUCCUCUCCCGGUUCCUUUCUAGUGGCCAAAAAAGAAGAGCGAAAACUUGUGCUCCAACAAUCUUUACAAAACCUGACAAAUCGAGUUACACGACUCUUCCAGUGAACAGCGCAACGCAGUUGGCGCUCCAGUAGCAACUAUUCCCUUCCCUUCCCUCCCCAUUCUUGUAGUCCGCAACUCGGGUGUAACAACAGCAAACCAAGAGAGUCGAUUUUACAGUUUAUAGGCAAUAUCAAUAACCAAAAACAAAAACUUCAUAUCAUAUUCAUAUCUCAGCGAGACCCAAUCCAAUAUCCCAACAACAAUGUACUCUAACCCCACCUAGCAGCACCCGAACCGGCUUGCCUGCUGCUUCUGGUCGUCUUUCGAGUCGCCGUCGAUGCUCACCCUGUUGAGGGAGAGCUCGGCCUUGUACGAGUCCGAGUUCAGGAUCUUCCGGCUCACGUUGCUGUAGAUCUCCUUGAUGACGAUCUCGAAGGCCGUCUCCACGUUGGUGGCGUCCAGGGCCGAGGUCUCCAUGAAGAACAUGCUCUCGGCUUCAGCAAGCGCCUUGCCUUCCUCGACGGGCACCUCGCGGAUGUUGUCCAGAUCACAUUUGUUGCCCACCAGCAUCUUGGCUACAGUAGUGUCGGAAUGCGCUGCAUAGGAUUUCCAAUGAUGAGUUAACCACUCCAGCAGAAUUUCAGGGGGGGGGGGGGGGAUAAAUGGGUUAUGUACAGGAUCUUAGGGAGACAAGGCAGCAGUACACAAGCGCAAGAUAUGAAUUGUUGUGAAAGUGUCACUGGCAUGCAAGAAGAAUUGCAGAAUAGGGUUUGUUGCUUCAUAACGAAUGGACUGUGACUGCAAUCCCAAUCAAGGGAUAACUGAACCUUUUCAGUUAGUGCAAUGAAUGUAAAGUAGCAGGAAUGGUAUAAGAAACCAACACUACUUUCAAGCAUGAUCCUUAGACAAGGGUGUAGUGUGCUAUUGAGUGUGAUAUCAGCUAACAGUCUGCUGAUUAUCUUCAACAUCCAAAGUUAGCACAGAAGAGCACUACUUGCUAUAGUUAGUAUGCAAGAUGCAAGUUGCUACUGUGCUACAGAACAAAUACUGAUAUGCAUUUUGGAUAUGCUAUGGAUUUUUCCAUUAUCAAUAAGUAUGCAACUCAGUAUCUUGAGGGCCAUUACUACCGUAGCUUACCCUUCCACCAGCUUUCGCAUGUGUGUACAAAUGAAAUGAACCUAUGCAGGCAUUUGUCCCUGGUUCUCACAGUCAGAGGUUCAAAGCUUGUCUCCGCAAAAGUGAACUCCUAAUAGUACUACAGCGAUCAAAGUCAUGCUAUAAUUCAUCUGAUAAUCCCUGUGACAAAGAAUAGCACCCAUGCAGUUGCAGGCUUGCAGCAAGCAUGUUAGGCAGAUCUGUAGCAGGUGCAUGAAUGUCGCUACGUACUGGUGCUAGCAAAUGAAACUCAUGAAGUAAGCCAAGAAACCGCAUUCACCACACCUCUUUCAUUUUCUUGCCUUCUUCUUCGUUACUACGUUCUUUCUUCACAAUCCUCCCAGCAACAGCCCUGGCCAUCUCUCUAAGCCCCGCCUUUUCUUGCUGGUUCCAGCGACGCCAAAAACCCAAGCGUGAACCAUCCCACCUCCUAGCCCAACUGGAGAGCACCCAUCUCUUACAGUGUCACGACAAGCGUGCACAUUGCUACCGGCAAACACUUGCCUCCAAACAGCACCCCAACAAGCGUGCACAUUGCUUCUGGUGGCAACGCAAGCAUUAUAUAUCAUUUUGGCAUGUUAGUGAAGCACUGAAGCAUAAUCAGAAUAAUGUGAGCAUUGUGCUCACUCAUCAAGACCCUCCUAGAGGUCCUAGCCAACUAAAAAAACUCCACGCAGAAUUAGUAACUGCUUCCAACUUCCUAAAUCCGUAAACCGCGGAGACAGCUUUCCACAAAAUUUACUCUACAACUUUCCCGAAUUCGAAUCCAGUAGCUUGCACAAAAAUUCUGAUCGAAGUGGUCCAACCAACAACACAUUCAUUCCUGAAACAUUCCCCAAAAAGUCAGGCACCAGGAUUCAGAUCCAGAUUCAGACCAUGUCGCCGAAUCCAUCUGGCCUAGCACUCGCUGUGCGCCUGUGACCUCUUACUAUCUAAAGAAUUAGCACCUGAUCCAAUCAUCAGCAAUGCAUCCCUACAAGCUACUAUACGUGAACCAAAAGCGAAAGGGAUAUUCCUUUUCCCUAAAUUUCUCACUGGACUGGAUUCUGCAGCCAGCUACGCUUGAGCAAAACAUAGGCCCCUUCCAACCAAAAACCACCCCAGAUCUACACGAUCCUAGCGCAUCAAUCAAAGCCAUUGUAAGCAAGUAUAUACUAGUAUCAAGCAAGCAAGCAAGCAAGCGAUCGAGCAAGCGAGCAAGUAGCAAGCAGAAGAGAGCGAAGCGGCCGUGGGGGUGUACACGUACUGUUGAGCUCCUGGAGCCAUCGGCCGACGUUCUCGAAGGUGGAGCGUCGCGAGAUGUCGUAGACGAGGAGCGCGCCGAAGGCUCCCCUGUAGUACGCGGAGGUGACGGCGCGGAAGCGCUCCUGGCCCGCGGUGUCCCAGAUCUGGGCCUUGACCUCCUUGCCGUCAAUGUCCAUGCUCUGGGUCUGGAACUCGACCCCGAUGGUGGCCUUGGAGUGGAGGUUGAACUCGUUGCGCGCGUAGCGCGAGAGCAGGUUGCUCUUCCCCACCGCGCUGUCCCCGAUGAUCACCACCUUGAAGAGGUACUCCUCCGCCUCGCCCUCCGAGUCGUCCCCCAUCGCUCGCUCGCGGCGCCCGGGGACGGACCUGCUCCGGAGGCUCCCUCGCUGUAUGUGGCUGCCGCCGCGCCUCGCCGCGCCCGUACGUCGUCGCCUCGGGAAUGCGCGAGAUUUGUAGCGGUUUCGCGGUGGGUUUUGGCCGAACGCGGCGCGGGUCAGGUCGGCGCGGCGCGGCGCGGGGGCGGGGGCGGGGGCGGGGCGCCUCCACUGGUGGCCGGGCCGGAGGUGUGGUGGUGGGGUGGUGAGGGGAGCGAGACGAGUGGGAGACUAGUGGGGCGCACGCGCGGGGGUUGUUUGGGUCGCUGACGGGUGGGUCCGGGUGCCGGGGGGCGCGCUCGGCGGGGCCGGCCUGUCGGUGGGGCUCGGGAGAGGCGGGGCGGAGUCGUGGGGUGCCUGUCACGCCGCACCCCCGCGCCCCGCGGCUGCCUUAACUCGCGGGUGAGUUGGCGCCUCGUUGUCCUCCGAUGGGCGACGUCUCGCGGGCCCGGGCCCGGGCCCGUUUCGAGGGAGGCACGGGCGUCUCGGUGUCGCUCGACUCUCUCGCAUUCGCUUGCUGCCUGCAAUUUUCCCGGUGCAGGCUCCUGCGAAGCAAGCACCCCAGCUAUCAUCAGACGUGCUGAGAUUUGGGUAUUGUAACGUGGAUAUUGUAAGACUUCACUGUGCUACGCGAAAAGGAAACCCGCAAUACGUGCCAAUGUGAUGCGUCACCACGACAUCCGCGAUCCGCCACCUUCUUGUUUUCUCAAAUCUCAACAAGGAAAAACUUGCCGGCUACGACCAUUUCAAGGGAGGGGCCGGGUACAAUACGAUACAGAGGAGAGCAUCCUGCGUCCUUUUGUUUUGUAGCAGCGAGCGAUCGAUCGAGCCAGUGACGGAGAUGACCAUUCGGAAGCACGCGUGCAAGUGGCAGAUCAAGUACACAAUAACAUGACAACACACAGUCACACACGUCCAUGGCUAGCUGAACCCUGAAGACUAGAGAAAGACAAGCGUCACUGAUCAUCGGUAGUGUACGACUAGAGUAUUGUGGUAGCGGUCACACACACCUCCGCUUUAUUCAAGAGGCCAGCCGUCGGCGCGCCAUGCGUGCACAAAGCAUCACAGCAUCUCCAAAACAAGCAACACGUACUACUAGGAGUCCAGGACUAGACAUGCAAAGAUGGAUCGACGUGCAAUGUGUGCGAGAGACUCGAGACACGCCGAGACCGGCGGGGCUACAGAUGGCAGACGCAUUUGUAGUGGUAGGCGCUGUUGAUGGGGUCGCUGGCGUCGAUGGGGACCACCUGGACGCUGCACCUGUGGCGGCAGCCCCGGCACUCGUUGUAGGUGCACGUCGUCGGAGCCCUCGACCCCACCAGCAUCCUCCUCCCGCCGCCACCACCGGCGCCCGUCGUCGUCUGCUCCUUGUUGUUCAUCAACGACGAGGCCGGCAACCCACCAUCACCGGGCGCCGGUGCUUCAUCCGGUCUCCGCCGUAAGCCCUAAAAACAAAGCAUGAGACCGGAUAAUAUGCUAGAUGCAUGCACGCCGCAUCAUGUAACAACAGAGUCAAAGAUACCUGCUGCAGCUGCUCUGUCUGAUGAAGGACUUGAAUCGGCGGCGAGGUUGCUCCGGCGCCUACUACGGCGGCGUCACCUGUUUGAAUCGCAUGAAUGCAUUGCAUGCAUAUGUGCACAGGAGAUCGAUAGCGUGAGAGAUAACAUAGUACUUAAGAUCGGACGACGAGGCAUCGUCAUCUACUGAUCGUUGAUUUGAUUGUGAUUUGGACAUUCAUAGGAGAAUCAUGGGUUAGAGUCGUACAUACCAAUCACGAGAAGAGCCACGAGGAGGAGAUGGCACAACAGCACGUAACGCUGCUUCUUGUUUCUAGCUGCUGCCAUAUCUUGUUGCUCUUAACUGCCGAUCAUUGAUAGCUAGCUAGACACUCGAAGAUCCAGUGACAUUUAUACUACUGCCGAUCGAGAGCGGCCGUACGUGUGUUGCAUUGCAGGAGGAAGAAGACGAGAGAGAUGGUGAUCGAGGAGAAAGGUAAGAGGCCCCCCGGCCCGGCGCCGGGCAUUACGUGCAGCAUGGCAUCCGCAGGCGUUCCGGGCCAGGGCAUAGUGCACGGUUUGUACGUUGUGUGGUUCCAGCAGCUUCCCGAAAUUACCGAAUUGCCCAUCAUCGCUGCAUGCAUGCAUAACAGUCACGCCCAGCACAUGUAUUAUAUUGUUUAAUCAGCAACUGGAUGCUUUUUAUAUUGUUUCAUCAGCAGUCGGGUAUUUUUACAGCAGUAUAUCCUUCGGCACCAUUGGGAGACGAAUCAAAUGCAUGGCAAGCCGGUGAUUACUGAUUACCGCAACGGAACUAGUCAAAACACGCACGUACAAAAAAAAAACA